UUUGUAAAUCAUCCAUAGUAUCACCAAAAUAAGAUUCUUCAAAUAGCCUUGAUAUGUAUUCAUCUUCAACAAUCACACCACAUCUUCAACUCAUGUUCUAUAUUUUUGAUAUUUAUUUUUAUCUAUUCUUCUAAAAUUAUUUAUAUUUUUAAAUAUGAUAUAUCCAUCUUGUCAUAAUCUUAUAAUAUCCUCAUCUUUUUUACUACAUGGAAAGCCUUUAUUCUUUUUAUUAUCGCAAUCUUCCUUUACAAUGGCAUCUAAUAAAAAUCCUUUGAGUCUUUAAGAUCUUCAAAUCCUUUAUAUAUCUUUGGCAAAGAAUGCUCUCUCAAACUAUUCUGAUUUCUUUCAUGAUUUGUACAAAUUGUUAAAAAUUACACUGUCUUCUUUUUGUCUUAACUUCUUAUAUUUGCAUAAGUCAAUCCAUCAUCCAUAAUCUUUGUCUCAAUUUGUAUCGCAGUAAUAUAUGAUAUUCUCAAUAUAAUAGGAUAUGUAAAUAUGUCUUGCACAAAAAAAAAUUAUUCAUGAAUAACAUCUUCUAUCGUCACUUUGAUAUUUGAACAUGUUUUAUAUAAAGAUUCUUUUGAAUUAUUUGCUGUUCUUAUCAUCCACCCAUGUUCAGUAUUAAUAGGCCAUUUUUCCUUGUUAUACAAUUCUUUUGACAUCAAAUUGAUUUUAGAACCAUGAUCAAUCAAUGCUACAACUAAUUCUUCUAAAUUUUCCAAUUUUAUCUAAGUUUCUGUAGUAGUCUUUAUCCAAUGACUUCUAGAAUAAUGGCUAGAAGCUUGAAUGACAUCUUUUUUUUCUACAAAUCUUACUCGCAAGACAUUCCCAAAAUUUUAUAUUUCAUCUUCUUCAUCUUCAUUGCUUUCUAUUGUUCUUGUUCCUUGUGCAUUUGAUGUCAUAAAGUCUCCUAUAGAUUGUCAUUUUUUCUUUAUUAUAUCAAUAAUAACUUCAUGAAACUCAUGCUUUGUAAUUCCUAGAAUUUCACCGAUUGUAAAUUCAACCUUUUUACUUAAAAUCCGCUCCUCCAAUACCUUCUUCAAAUCUAUAGUACCUUUAAUAUCUAAUUGUAAUUUAUAAGUAAGAGCCUUUGCUUUUUCUUAUCUAAUUUUCCUUUAUUUUGUGGAAAUGUUCUUUUUUGUCUCUUCAUAUAUAGGAUUCAUUUGUUGUCAUAUUUUUUCUCCCCUUGUAGUUCUUUUUGAAGGCCCUUCAUUAUUUUCAUCUCUCCUUUGUUUUUCUUCUAUUAACGCUUCAUGUUGACUCCUUGCAAUAUGAGCAUGCACAGAUAAUCUAUCUACGGGAUUAUCCCACUUAGUAAUUUGUUGAAUGUUAUUACCAAUACAUUUUAAAUUAUUUCUAGUAAAUUUUUUCCUUUCAGCAUAACUCAUUGUACUUAUCCACAAAGAAUUAGAUUUUUUUAGAAACUCAAGAUUUAUACUUAAACAUUUAUUAGGAUUUUCUUCCAUCCAAUAUGUUGAUGCUUCAUUAUUUGAGAUUGUAUUCACUUUAAAAGUAUCUCUAACAAAUACCUUUAUUCUUCCUUUACCAAAAUUUAUUUCUAAUUUUUCUCUACUUUCUUUUAAGUGUAUCAUUCCAUCUUUAAAAAAACAAAAAAAGAAUAAUUAAUGCCUCUAUAAAAUCUUNNNNNNNNNNNNNNNNNNNNNNNNNNNNNNNNNNNNNNNNNNNNNNNNNNNNNNNNNNNNNNNNNNNNNNNNNNNNNNNNNNNNNNNNNNNNNNNNNNNNNNNNNNNNNCUCUUGAAAUUCUAUAAAUUUUAUUUGCAAAUCUCUCAUCCCAUGAAUGAUUUCAUAAAUGCCCACUUCUUCUUUCUUUGAUGUAACCAUUGAAGGUUGAAUCAAAGAUGUUGAAUGGAUACUAGAAACCUUUACCUUAGAUGCUUGUAAUGAUCUUUAAAUACCCAUCCUAUCUUUUCUCCUUUUUCUUUUUGCCAACAAGCCUACUGCCUCCUCUACUUCUUUCCAAUUUGUUGUCAAUCUUUCAUUUUCUUCUUUAUCUCAAAUUUUGCACACUUCUUAUAAACUAAGUUGAAAACAAGCUAAACUUCAAUAACUAAUGAAUGAACCAUCGAUCUUAAUUCAAAAUUUGUAUACUUCUUAAAAAUCAAAUUUAAAAAAAUUACAAAAUAUUUGAAAAGGAUUGAAAUUACUAAAUAGAUGAUUACCUCGUGUAUUGAUUGGUCUCCUUCUCCAACCUUGAUGCUAAUCUCCUAGAGCCAAUAUCUCUCUUUUUCACUUUUCAAUUGAUUUCAAAAAAUUUAUAUAUAUAGAAAAACAAGUCUAUUAUCUUCAUCUAUAAAUUUCACUCAAAUCCAACUAGUAAAUUGCAAGAAAUCUUAAAAAUCCUCACUAGACCUAAAAUUCUAUUUUUUGAGACCUUGACCCACUUAAAUCUCAAUAACCUUUAAUUCAACCAUUAGAUCAAGCUAAAAUUUACAACACAUAUUAAGCACAACUAUAACCAUUAAUCCACAAAAUUUCAUCCAUAGAUCUAUAACAAAACUCUUGAAAUUGCCCAAAACAUCAACCCUAUUUUAUUUCAUAAAAUCCAAUUCAUCCAAAAACAAACUUGACUUUGUAAAGCUCUUACAAAGUCAUUACGAAUCUAAAUCAUACAAAAAUAAUGCUCAUAAAAAUCCUAUCUAGUCUGUUAUCAAAUCAUACUCUCUGAUCUGCAAAAGAAUUUCCAAGUUGCCAUAGGUGCUCAGUUUUAUGCCUUAGAAACUGAUUUCAAUCCAGGUUGAUAACUAGUCCUCUUUAGGUAUCAAAUUUUGUCUUUUUGAAUUAAUUUUUAUUAAAAUCAACUCCUAAUUUCCUCCUAUAAAUAUUUGUAUCCUUUAUUUUUCUAAUCUAAUUUAUUUUAUCUUAUUUAUGGUCCAACAAAGUAAGUAGAAGUCUUUUUUCUAAAAAGAUAGCAUUACUUCUAAAAGUUUUACUACCUUCUUAUCUUUUAUCUAUAUUUUUCUACUUUAUAUUUUAACUUAUCUCUUCUAUAAUAAGAUCUAUAUUAUCUUCUUUUACUAUAUAAUCAUGUUACAAUAUAACAACAUAUAAUAAUUUGGUAUAUUUUUCUAUUCAACAAACAUCUUUCUUUACCAAUUAUGGUUAUCAUCCAUGACCCAAUACUUUUGACUUUUCAAAAAUUGAUAAUCUUAUAAUAGAAGAUAUAGCAAAUAAUUUAUAAAAACUAUGUGCAAUAAUAAAGGUGUAGUUAAAAAAAAAAGCUAAAAAAUGACCAAAAAUCAAUGUAGAUGUCUAUUGCAAGGAAUAACCAUAAUUCAUUGUAGAUGACAAGGUAUAGUUACUUUGUCAUAAUAUCAAGACUACUUAUUCUUAUGAUAAGUUGGAUAAUUAUAUGCUUUAACUUUUUUUCUAUUUAUGAAUAAGUAAAUCUUAUUUCUUAUUGAUUACAUUUACUAGAGUCUAUGAAGAUCCAUCUUCUAUUCUACGUGUCUUUUUUUGAACCAUAUGAUAUAGUGAAUAUUUCAAGAAGAAGACAAAUAUCACUUCUUUGUAUAAAAGUAGAUAAUAAUCAAGAAUUCAAGAUAAAAGGAGUCUUAGAUUCAAGGUGGUGCUAAAAUAGAUAAGUUGUUCAUUGGCAUGGAUAUGAUAUUAAUAAAUACACAUGAGAGCCAACAAAGAAUCUUAUAAAUAUAGCAAAGAGAGUUGAGGCUUUUUAUUAACAAUAUCAAUCAAAUUCAAGAUAAAGAAUUACAAGAUCCAUGAAAGAUGAUGACCGCUAUUCGUGGAAUUUAUCUCUAAAAGAGAAGGUAUAUACAUUUAUUCCAAUAGUUACUUAUAUGAUUAAAUAGAAGUAGAUAAAUAUAAAUUAAUUUUAUAAUAUAUUUUAGAAAAGCUUCUUAGAAGCUUUAUAGACAUAAUAUUGACUUUACAUGUAUUUGUAGUUGACUGAUAGGUUAAAAACUUAGUCAAUAAGUUAAUCACAUACAAUACAUAUUGAUAGCUUAUAAAAAUAGCUAACUAUCUGGUGUACAUAUAGAUAACUUAUCUUGUAAGUUAAGACAUAUGUCUAAUAAAGUUAAUACAUGUUGGAGGUCUUAUAGGAGAUCCAUAUAUAGCUUUUAAUUAGAAAGUAUAUAUGGAGGUAAGAGUGAAGCCUUCUUCACUCUUGUCAAUGUCUUUUUAUUUUUUAGUCUUGUUUUAAGACUUUUUAAUCUUCUUAUGUUUAGAAAUAGCCAUUCUAGUUCAAUAUAUUACCAUCUUUGAAUGAUUUUUUAGUCUUUUUGAGUAACAAGAAAGUAUAUUGAGAUUUUAUUUUAUUGAGAUUCAUAUCCUUGACAUAUAUAUUCAAUAGUCUUAUUGGCAGAUAUGGAAGGAAAUUUGAUGCACAAAUUUAUCCAUUCUAUGUCAAAAAUAUCUUUUAAUGAAAAAUUCAUCAUAUAGAUCCAAUUACAAGAAAACUAGAUAAAAAUUACUUCUUGUAAUUAAUUAGCUUAUUCUUUUGAAUAUGACAAAUACAAAACAAUAUAAUUAAUAUAAGAAAUCUAUCUUCAAUAGAUAUAAUUAAUAUCUAUUUUUUAUUAAUAUCAAUAGUAAAAGAUUGAAGAUCCUUGCAUAAUUGAAGAAGUUAGAUAGUUGAUUAGCAAUAGAAUGGUUUAAUUUUUUUUAGAAAAAUACAACCAUAAUAGUAUAAGAUAUGUUAAAGCUUAUGACUCCAAUAAUAUGUACCAUGACCAUCCUAAACUUGUUAGAUUUAAAUGUACAAUCCAUAAUAAUGUUGUAUAGAUAUUUUUUGUAAAUUGGACAAAUCCAAGUUGAAAAAAGAAUAUAAAACUUUUCUUAUUUGUUUCAUUAAACUUGUAUGUUGUGAAAAUAAUAUUCAUUCAUCAACUCAAAUUACAAGAUGGCCUCAAUUAAAGGUUGCUUAUAAUUGGUGGUAUAAAGUAGAAGUAGUAAGAAAUAAUAACAAAAGAAGAACAACACAAAACAAAUAAAACAAGUAAAAUUAGUGCAAUCAAGCAAUUGUAUACUACAAAACUAGUUAUAGUCUAUUUACUAGAUUUUUACCUAAUAAAAAGUAAAAAAUAUAUUUUUAGAUAGAUAAUUUUUUAUCUUUUUAAUGACAUAAAAAAUAUAUAAAUCUAAAUUAUUUUGAAUAAGUUAUAAUAGGUUAAAGAUAAAAUAUAAAUAAUAAAAAAGUUAAAUGAAUGAUUUUUAUCUCAAGAAUAACUUGCUUAAAAGAUCAAGAGUUCAAACCUCACCAAGGCUCACAAGUAGUGUACAUGGGCUGUUAAGAGAGGCUAUAAGGCCUUAGUCUUAUCCUCCUAACUCUAUUCAAGGUACUACAAUCCAUAUGGGACUUAUACACCUCCAUUUCUAUAAGGACUAGACUAGCUUCUAGUCAUUCUAUUUUCUACUACUAAAAUUCAUAAUUUUUUAUUUUUAAAUUCAUUAAGAUAUUUAAAAACAUCCAAAUAGCUUAAGAACCUUUUAUGGCUUUUAAAUCUUACUCCAUUUUUUUCAUAAUGGCUUCCAAGGUGGUAAAACUUAAUUUUACCAAAGUCUUGAAAUCUUCUCUAAAGAGAUCCUAAAAAAUCCUAUUAAAUUUUUAUUAUGCUAAUAUAUAUUUAAGGCUAUAUUUUUCUACCUUGAUGAUUUUUUAUAGUAAUAAAAUCAAUCUUAAUCCACUAAAAAUCCUAUUUUCUAUAUAAUUAACUAAAAAGACAUGAAGUUCUUUUUCAUGCUUCUUAUCACUACUAACUAAUUAUUGAUAGGAUUUUUAUAACUUAUAAAUUUAGAUAGGAAGCCAAUAAAGACAUUAGUCUCAAUAAUUACUCUUUAAUACUUAAUAAUAAGUAAAAAUAUCAAACCAACUAUGAUAAUUGCUUCUAAGACUUAUUAAGAUUCUAUUUUUAUAGCUUUUCUUUUAAUAAGACUUUCAUAAUUUAUAAAUAAUUUUAAAUACUAAUAAAUACUUAAAUAGUCAAAAAUACUCUCUAACCUUAAUAUUUAUAUAAUGAAAUAAAUUAAAAUUAUUUUUUUUAAUAUUUCAUCAAUUAAGAUAUAUUGGUGGGACUCACAUAUGUAUAUUGGUAUAUGGCAUUGCAAAGAUUUUUUAUAAAAAGUAAAAAUGGAUGAACAACCAUAAAAAUAAAUUUUAUAACUAUAUUGGUACUAUCAAAUUUUGUGAAGUUUUCUUGAAAUUGCACUAAAAACCUAGAUGUAGAAAAUAAAAUAUAAAUUAUAUUGAUAAGAUCUUAAUAAAUCUAAUAAGUUCUUGAAAAAACUCUAAUUAAAUCCUAAUAAUGCUUAUCAAAAAUUAAUUAAACUCAACAAAAAUCUUAAAGAAAUUACAAAAGAAUCAUAAAAAUAUUAUGAAUUAACCUUUAAAAUAUAUAUUUAUUAUAUGUUUUUAUUAUAUAUUUUAUUAUUAUUAUUAUUAUUAUUAUUAUUAUAUAAAGAAAAAAAUUGUUAAUUCUACAUUUUCAAUUGAUAUUACUAUAUACUAUGUAACCUCUAUAUAACUCAAUUUAAAUAACCUGGCAUCCUUAAUUAUCUUAUAUAUAAAUAAGUUCUUAAGCUUAAUAUCAUUGAUAAAUGAAUUGAGCGACUUCACAUCUUUGAAUACCUUAGACAUAUUGGAGUACUUAAGCUUGCCAUCAUUGCUAAAUGAAUUGAGCCAUCUUAUAUCUUUGACCACCUUAGAUAUGUCAAUGUGCCUAAGCACAGAAUAUAUGUCAAAUAAAUUAAAAAAUCUCACAUCCAUGACUACCUUAAAUAUGUUAGAGUACUCAAACUUGAUAUUAUUGCCAAAUGGAUUGAAAAAAUUUAGAUCUUUGAUUAACAUAUUAAAGUUUUUGAAUUUGAUAUGACUACCAAAUUGAUUGAAUUGCCUCAAGUCUUUGACUAUUUUAAAUAUAUUGAGGUACUUAAGCUUGACAUUAUUUUUAGAAGAAUUUGAUAACUUCAUAUAUUUGACAAACUUACUUAUGUUGAAAUGCUUAAAUUUAAUAUUAUUUCCAAAGAAAUUUGGCUAUAACAAAUCUUUGACUAUAUUAGACAUAUCAAGGUGCUUAAGCUUGGCAUCGUUGUUAAAUAAUUUGCACAACUUUAUAUCUUUGACUAUCAUAAAAAUUAGGUGAUUACUCAAGCUUGACAUCAUUGUUAAAUAAAUUGAAUAAAUUAACAUCUUUAACUAUCUUAGAAAUAUUAAGAUACUAAAGUUUGACAUUAUUAUCAAAUAAAUUAAAAUUUUGACCAUCUUAGAUAUAUUGAGGUGCUUUAAUUUGACAUUGUUACUAAAUGAAUUGAAAAAAUUUACAUCUUUGACUACCUUAGGCAUAUUAUAGUAUUCAAGCUUGAUAUAAUUAUUAAAAAAAAUUAGAAAUCUCACAUCUUUCACUAUACUAAACAUAUUAUAGUACUCAAAUUCAACAUCAUUACUUAAUAAAUUGGACAAAUUUAUAUUUUUAACUAUCUUAGACCUAUUAAUAUACUCAAGGUUGAAAUCAUUGCUAAAUCAAUUGAAAAAUCUUAUAUAUUUAAUCAUCUUAAGUAUAUUAUAGUCCUUAUGCUUGAAAACAUUAUUAAAUAAAUUAGGUAAUUUUAUAUCUUUGACUACCUUAUAUAUUACAAGGUACUCAAGCUUGACAUUAUUUUCAAAUAAAUUUUCCAAUUUUAUAUCUUUGUCUACUUUUAAAAAAUUCUUUGUUUCCACUUUUUAUAUUUUUACUUUAUUCCAAUUUUUUGUUCUAUUCUGAUCUUCUCAUUUCAUGUUUUCUUACUUCAUUUUCACUUCUUGUUCUUAUGAAAUUAUAAAAGAUGGGAUUUUCAUUUGAUGUCGAAAUUUUAUGCUUGAGGAAUUCUUUUUGUUCAUAUUAGCUAGCUAAGGAAUUAGAAGUUUAUCUAUUGAUUAGUGGAUGUGUGUUGGAUUUAUUUAUUUUUGUGUUGAGAUUCAUUUUGUGAAGUUGAUAGGAUGUGGUAUUCAUAACAAUAUUAGACUUGACUUUCCAAAAUAUACUUAGUGUGGCAUAUUAUUAUUACGUACACAUUAUACAUUGAAACAAAAAAAAAUUAUUUCCUUACUUUGUACUCAAUUCUUAUUUCUACUUAAUACUUUUUUAUUUUUUUACCACUUUUUGUUUCUUUUAGUUAUUUCCACUUCUUCUUCUCUUACUUUGUAUCUACUUUAGGUUCUCUUUUGUUGUUCCUACUUCUUGUUUUCUUACUUCAUUUUUAUUUUAUUUUUUUACUUUUUUUAACUUCACUCUUACUUCUUCUUCUCUUACUUCAUUUCCACUUUGUUUUUAUAUCUUAUUUCUAAGAAUUUAUUAAUUUUUUGUCACUUCUUAUGCUUACUUCUAAUUCUCUUAAUUUAUUGUUACUUCUUAAUCAAUUUUUUUGUUGUCACUUCUUGUUCUUAUUUCCUAGUCCCUUACUUUGUUUUUACUUCUCUUUCAUACUUUUCUUUAUUUUAUUUUAUUUUCACUUCUUGUUUAUAUAUUUUUUUUAUUAUUUUUAAUUCUUACUUCUUAUUUCUUUAUUUUAUUGUCACUUUUUCUUCUUAUUUCUUAUUUUCUUGUUUUAUAGUUACUUCUUGUUCUUAUAUUCUAUUUUUAUACUUUGUCUCAUUUUUAAUUUUCUUACUUUUUUUUCACUUCUUAUUUCUUUACUUUUUUGUAACUUCUAAUUCUUAUUUAUUAUUUCUUUACUUUGUAUUACUUCUUAUUCUUUCUUCAUCUUUCUUUACUUCAUUCUUACUUCUUAUUCUUUUAUUUUAUUUCCCCUUCUUAUUCCUACUUCUUAUUUUCUUACUUAAUUAUCACUUCUUACUCUUAUUUCUUGGUCUCUUACUUUGUUCUUACUUCUUGUUCUUACUUCUUCUUUCUUUACUUUGAUAUCUAUUCUUGUUGCUUUACUUCAUUGUAAAUUCUAGUUCUUACUUCUUAUUUCCUUGCUUUCUUGUCACUUCUUAUUUGUACUUCUUAUUCUCCUAUUUUAUUGUUACUUUUGAUUCUAAUUUCUAAUUCAUUUAUAUUGCUCUUACUUCUAAUUUCCUUCAUUUGUUAUUACUUCUUAUUUUUUUAUUCCAUUAUCACUUAAUGAUCUUACUUCUUAAUCUUCUACUUUAUUGUAACUUCUUGUUUUUACUUCUUAUUUUUUUUACUUCAUUGUCACUUCUUCUUCUCACAUCCUAUUUGAUUACUUUAUUCUCACUUUUAAUUUUUUUUAUUUCAUUCUUGCUUUUUCUUUCCUUAUUUCAAUAUUACUACUUAUUCUUAUUUCAUAUUUUCUUAUUACAUUGUCAUUGCUUGUUUUUACUUCUUGUAUUGAAGUAAGUAAGUAAAAGUAGAAUAAAUUACAUAGUAAAAGUUAUUAUCUGAAGUAAGUUGCUAUUGGUCAAAGGAUUGACUCUUGGUAUAUAAGAAGAGCAUCCUAUAGAUAUAAGAUGAGGUCAAGGACCGAGAGUCAAAGUCAAGAGGAUAAAAUAUGAACUAGAAAACAUCCAAAGACUAGAUAAGAGUAAUUAGUGUUUGACAUAGGAUGUCUUUGUGGUUAGUAAGAUGCCAAAAGAUUCAAAGACCAUAGAGUAUCCUUGAGGUACGUUAAAUGCCAAAGAAUCUUAGGACCUAUCAUCAUGUGUGUAAAAAUCAAAGAGUUGAAGGUAUCUUGUAAGGUAGCAACCACAAUCUAUAAGUAUUGGGUGUUGGGAGUGAAAGAUAUCUUAUUAUAUACUCUCUUUGUGUGUAACCUUGUAGAUGCUAUGUGUUGUGACUUGAAAGUUCUAUUUCUUCAAUAGGUUAUGGAUCCAUUCAGCUUUAGUUGUGAAUUUUGAAGUUCUUUGAAGACUUUGAUUUUAUAAAGAGUAGAUCUUAUGGUUGUUGCUGAUGUUAGAAUUUGGUAUCUUCUAAAUCUCUAAUUGCAUCUAAUUAUUAAUGUAUUUAUGCUCUUACUUGUUGUUAAGUACAUUCAUGGACUUAGAGAUUGUUAUACACUUUAGAAUGUUGUUUUAGAAUACUAGUGGUAUGUUUCUUUACUAACAUAUCUCAUUGAUACACUAACAUUGAACUUUGAUGUACUGGAAAGCUUAAUAGAUCUUCUUAUAAUAAAAAGAGGUAUUAUGAGAUAUUAGAAGUGAUAAAAGAGUGGCAAAGCUUGCAAGAGAGGUUAAGAUAGUGUAUAAGACUUGUGAAAAGUCUUAUAAGUGAAGUUGGGAGUGAUCAAAGAAUAAAAUCAUUAAUUUACUUACAAAGAGGGCAUUUUGGGAUUUUAAGACAGCAACACCUUCUUGUUGAUUUUUAGAAUUCUAUCUGCUCUUUUUUUUUUUUUUUUUUUUCUUUGAUACACCUCUUCUUUAGAUAUGGCUUCAAGUGAAGAUGAGGGUUUGAAAGUGAUUGAAAAAUUUAGAGGUGACAACUUCUACUAUUAGAAGAAAAAAAUGGAGCUUUUAUUAACUUCAUUGGAUCUUUGGAACAUUGUUGAUGUAAGUGAAGAGCUUCUUAGUGAUGAUGCUGAUGUCAAGGUGAAGAAGGAGUAAAAAUGACGUGAAAGGAAGGCUUUUGGCAUGAUUGCAACAAAUCUUGAUGUUGCCAACUUUUCACAUAUAAUUGCUUGCAAUAGACUAACAGAAGCAUGGAAGAUUUUUUGUAAUAUCCAUGAGAGUAGAAACCUUCCUAAUAUUCUAUAGACAAAGAAGAAGAUCUUAAUAGUAAAGAUGGAAGAAGGAGAUGACCUCAUGGCUCAUGUCAACAGGAUAAAAAUACUUGCAAACCAACUAACAAUUGUUAAUACGCUAAUUAAUGAUAGAAAAAUUAUAUUGAUAUUACUCAUGAGCCUAUCCAAGUCCUACAACUACCUUAUUGUGGCAUUAAAGUCUAUCAACAUGAAGGAGCUUACCAUGAAUUAUAUCACAUCAAGACUUGCACAUAAAGUAACCAAGAGGAAAGAAAAAGAGCUUCAAAGUGAUGAUUUGACUCUAUUCUCAAGAUAAGGUAAAGGUAGCUUUUCACACCAAUAUGAUAAUUCAAAAAAUAACAUAAGGAAUUACUAUAUUUAUAAAAAAAUCAAGUUAUUUUAUUAGAAAUUGCUAUAGGAUCAAUAAAAAGAGGAGAUAGGAAAAAUGCAAAUAAUGCUAGUGAUAGUUUUGGUGGAAAUUAUUAUGCUUUUAUAAUAAGUCAAGGAGCCUCCAUAGCUGCCAAAUCUAAGUGGAUUUUAGAUUUGGGUGCUAUUAAGUACAUGACACCAUACAAGUAUUCAUUUGAAACUUAUGAAGUAAUUCUAGUAACAAAAGUAUGGUUGAGAGAUAAUGGCAUGGUGCAAGCUAUUGGAAUUGGCUCCAUUGUGGUGGAGGUUGAAAUGAAGGGCAAAAUCAAGAGGAUCAAAUUGAAAGAAGUCUUACAUGUAUCAAAGAUGAAGAAGAACCUUUUUUUAGUGAACAAACUUGUAUCACAUGAUUGUAAAAUUAAAUUUGACAUAGAUGAAUGUUUUAUAAAGACAUUGAGUGGACAACAUAUUACCAAAGGCCUUAGACAUGGCAACCUCUACUUUAUCAAUUGUAAGAAGGUGAAUGGAGUUGAAGUAGCGGCAUAUGCUAAUUUAUCACAAAAUCAAGAUAAGUUUGGUAUUUGGCAUCAGCAACUCAAUCAUUUGAAUAUCAAAAGCAUAAAGGAGCUCUAAUUUGUGGUAAAUAGCUUACAUCUUAGUCAAUUCAGCCACAAUGCUAUGAUACUUGUUUGUGAAGGUUGUAUCCAAGGCAAACAACACUAAGAUAGACAAUGGGGGUGAGUACAUAUGAAAGCAUUUUGAUGAAUUUUUGAGAAAUCAAGGUAUUAGAAGACAAACCUCUACUCUUUAUAUUCCACAAUAAAAUGGAAUUUUUGAAAGAGCAAAUCAUACUAUUAUGGAAAUGGCAAUGAGUAUGCUUCAUACACAAAACCUCAUGCAUGAAUAUUAGGUAGAAGUUGUAGUGAAUAUAGUAUAUACACGGAAUAGAUGUCCAAGAAGUGCACUUACAUCAAUGACUCCAUAAGAAGUUUGGAGUGGCAAAAAAUCUUGUGUUUCACACAUGAAGAUCUUUAGAUGUAUUGUUUAUGCAAAGAAACUAGAUUGCAUGAGGUCCAAACUUGAUGCAAAAGAAACAAAAUGUAUAUUUCUUAGGUAUUGUGAAGGUACCAAAGCAUAUAGGCCUAUGUGUUUAGAAACCAAAAAAAUCAUUAAAAGUUGUCAUGUAGAGAUUUUAAAGGACAAGAAUACUUAUAAGCACUUGAAGAUGUGUCCAAAUGGGAGUAAUGGUAUAUUUGUAGAUGCAUCUUUAAAUCCAGCAAUGAAAGAAGAAAAAGAUGAUGAUAGUGAAGAUGGUGGAAUCUCAAAUCAACAUGAAGAAAUAAAGAAGAUAGAUUAUGAGGUGCCUACAAUUGCUAAAACUAGCAAUGAAGAUAAGCAAGAUGUUAAAGAUGAUGAUGGUGAUGAGGGAUAUCAACCUUUAAGUAUGAAAAAACAAGUUUUAAGAAAAGAAAAAGAUUGAAAGAGCUAUUGGAGUGCAUGAAGGUAAAUCUUCAUCUAGUGAAAGAAGAUAUCCUUUAAGACAUCAAAACAACUUGGUCCAUAGUAGAAGAACCACAUCUUUUCUCAAAUAAGUAAAGAACAUGUCAAUGUUGCACUCCUUGUUGAUCUAUUUAAUUUGUGUAAUGCUAUGAAGUGGGAGAAUACCAUAGUUUAAAUCAUUUAUAGAAAAUAGAACAUGGGAAUUGACUCAACUUCCACCAAAUCGAUCUUCAAUUGAUUGUAAGUGGGUAUUUAAAACCAAAAGGGAUGCAAUAUGAAAUUUUGUAAAAUACAAGGCUAGGUUAGUUUCCAAAAGAUACUCACAAGUUUUUGGAGUUGAUUUCAAUGAGAUAUUUACUCUUGUGGCCAAAUUCACCACCAUCAGAACAAUUGUAACAAUUGGGAUAGCAAUGGACUUGGAAAUGCAUCAAAUAGAUGUGAGGAUGGCUUUCUUGAAUAGAAAGUUACAAGAAGACAUCUACAUAGAUCAACCUCAAGGAUUUGUUGAAGAUAGCAAAUAAGACCUUAUUUGUAAGUUGAAGAAAUCCUUGUAUGGGCUCAAGCAAUCUCCAAAGGCAUAGUACCAACAUAUUGAUACAUUCUUUGUAAAUAAAAGAUUUGUAAGGAGUGAAGCUAAUCAUUCUUUGUAUGUGAUGCAAUCAAGUAAGUUCAUAUUGAUUGUCAUCAUCUAUGUUGAUGAUUUGAUUAUCUCAACUAAUGCUAUGAAGAUGAUGGAUUGGUUCAAGGUAAAUUUUAAAAAAGAGUAUGAGAUAAGUGAUUUGAGAGACCUUCACUAUUCUUUAGGACUAGAGUUUCUAAGAGAUUGUGCUAAGAAAACCAUUACAAUGAGCCAAAGUAAGUACAUUGAAGAGGUGUUGAAACGAUUCAACAUUGAAGAGUGUAAGCCUAUUGGAACACCUUUGAAGGCCAAUUUGAAAUUGAUGAAGCUCGCGGUGUCGUGUUGUAACACGAGUAUACAGUGAAAAUAAAAAGAAAGGGGAAUUUUAUUAAUAUUCAGUUACCUCGAAUAUUGGGAGCAUCGAUCAACUCCAGUACAAAUACUGAGUGGUCAGGUUCAGUGACUCCGUUACAGUCAGCCGGGACAUACUGGAAUGCCCCAUUCGAUUCCAAUAACGGGAGUCAGCAGGAAGAGAAGGACCAAUUCACACGACGGGUUCGAGGAGCCAAUUGGAUCUAAUUUCGAGAAUCCAAUCCGGGUCCUCUUACCCAAUAUGAGACCUGUAUUGGUGGGGCAACCCAAUGCAGUCUAGUUACGGAAAAUCCAGGUCUUACUACGGGUCUUAGCCAAUCUGACGCGAGGACCAAUUUGACCCAAUUACAGGAACAUCCAGGUUACUACGGGCAUCUUUCCCAAUAUAGGACCUGAAUUGGUCGGGCGACUCAAUGUGGUCCCGAUUACGGGGUUCGAUUCUGUUUCAGGCUGUCCUGUUCUCUGUGCCGUCUCAGGGAACGUUGUUUUUGGUAAAUGGAUUUCUUAAAGGUAAAAACGGAGGAGAAAGCUUGAGGUGGGAGCCAAUUUCGGAUCCAAGCUUGAGGUGGGAGCCAAUUCCGGAUCUAAGACGGAAGAUUGAAGAAAUUCAGAGGAUAAGGUUAGGGGGGAUAUAGUUUUGGAGUGGUGUGGGUUUUUAUUGGGAUGGGAGGUUUUUGAAGAUCAAGGGAAUUAGAGAGAGGAGCUUCAUGCUUUGGGUCGGGAAAGGAAAGACAUAGGAUUUGGAUUUUUCUUCUUCGUAGAGUUUUGGGGAAGACUGAGGCAAUCGCUGCUGAAGUCAGUGUUGUAAUGGUGAAUCGGGAUUUUUAAAUGAAGUGGGUUUGAAUACUCUUGACUGUUUUGUGAAAUCGAGUUACGUCUAUGAUUGAAGGAUUAAAAGGGUGUCUAUAGGAUUGAGUAUGCGGAGUGAAUGAAAUUUAUUGGGUUAAUCUAACAAGACAGUCAGUGGAUACAAGAUCGUAAGUACAAAGCAGUAUUGAAGGUUAACAGUUUGGGUUGUACGGGGUUCUCUGUAACGUCUAGAGACCUACCGGCUGGGACAAAAAGGACUUCGACAAGCAGUCGAAGAGCACCCAUAUAGAUUUACGGUACAUUAUUGCAGUCGUUUAUAUUCCAGCAGUCAAAAACUGAUAGACUGCUUGACUAUCGACGAAUCUCCAUACUACCUUCUACAGCCAGACGCCCGGCGCGUUCUCGAGCAGGAAAGCACGUAAUACGACAUAAGUGGUGAACCCGACGUGAAAGCUUGAGGUAGAAGGUAUUGGAUUUCGGUUGAUUUUAUCUUUAUUUUUUAUGGAAAACGAAAAUAAAAAUUUUGAAGGAUUUUUGGGAGAAAUUUCUGGUGGGGAGUCUUCUAAAGGACAAGGUAUGCACAUGGAUCCGUCUAUUGCUAGUUUGUUUCAAGCCUUCUCAUUGUCAAUGUAGCAACAGCAAAAUAAUGAUCGAAAGGAAGCUUUGGCAACCAAAGCAUUGCAAGCAGUGGUCAAUAAAAUUGAUCAAUUUGAUGGGAGGAAUAUUUCAAGGUAUUUAAGAUGUUAUGUUCGUGAAAUGGAAUUAAAUCGGGUUUCUGAGAAGAAAAUGGUUGCACUAUUUGGACUUGCCACGAUACCAGAGAUAAGGGACCACAUUACAUCGAUUACGGAUCGUUGUGGGAAUUCAUGGGAGGAUUUUUCACAUGCAUUGAAAGACGAAUAUUUCUUGGAAGAUGCUGAUCGCGUUACUAAGAAGCUGUUUCUGGGAUGGAUUGAACGGCCCAAUAAGAAUUUGCAAGCAACAGAGCUACUAAGGGAAUUUGAGAGGCAGUACUCUCAAUUAUCGAAGGUAGAAAAAUUGACAUUGGAGCCGAACAAAGUUGAUUUAUUUCUUCAAGCUGCUGAUGGAGAAUUGCAAGAGAAAUUAGAACCCCUUCUUGAAGACAAAGAAGAAGAUGAAGGAUUGACAACGAAGUGGAAGAACGUUGAAGAUGCGGUGGGGUUGCUUACAAAAAAAGAAAGGAGGAAGGAUAGGAGUAAUAUUCUGAAACAAGUACAAGCAUCCAAAGCUCCAGUACGUACUACACCACCGACAAUGCCUACAGUUCAACCUUCGACAUCCUUGUCAAAGAAAAUAGAUAUGAAUAUGGAAGAAAUUAUACGAGGAAUGUGAGAUCUUCAAAUCAAAUUGGCAAGACUUGAAGAGAAUACUUCUAUAAACAAUUCGAAGAAUGUUUCAAAACAAGGAUAUGUACAAAGAUGCAUUUGGUGUGAUGAUGCUUCACACACUAGAAAAGAUUGCAAUGAAUUUAAUAAUAUGAUACGGCAGGGAAUUAUUUGCUGGAAAGAUGGGAAGAUAGCAUUGAAAGAUAGGGAGGAUCUUCUUCAAACCAAUUUUGGGAAGGGAGGAAUGAGAGCAUUGGUUCAAGAUUACUUAAAAGGGCAUGAAACAGUAGCACGAGAAAGUGCAAGUUAUGGUGCUAGAGUAGAUGAUGAAAUUGGUGGAAGUAUGGAAACUAGUGAGUUUUGGGCUUCUGCCGUUUCUACAAUGCAAGAAGGGAAAUUACCUCGAGAAGCGUUAUUGAGAACUGCAGCUACAAUACGAGAAAGAACAGGUUGGGAGGAUCCUGUUGAGUCUCUUUUAGUUCAUGCAUAUAUUGCUAAGAGCCAACAUGAAGCUUUGAUGGAAGAAAAAAGACGAGGAAAUUUUGAUGAUACUAGAGAAGGAAAUUUUUCUAAGAGGCAAACUCGAGGAGACAAGGCUCGAGAGGCAGCUUCACAAGAAUUGCCUAUAAAGGAUACCUCAGCAUCAUUGGGAGAAAAAACAACGGAGACAAAAGAUAAGGGCAAAUCAAUUGCUUAUAAGCUACUUUCUGACAUUGAAGCGGCAACAAAUUUGAAAGGGGUGUUGGAAGAACGUAUAUUAAAGGCUAAGGUGGAAUUCACAUUGAAAGAAGUCUUGGGAAUUGCAAAGAAGGAGUUUCAUGAUGUUAUCAUUGACAGCAUUAAGCGAAAGAGGCAAUUAAUGAGCGAAACUGGAAUGAGUCAUGCUAUUGACGCAAGAAUAUGUAGAGAUGAAGAAGAGGUUGAUAUUGGUUACAAGCAACCAACAAAUGAAAAGAAUGGGUAUAAUCAGCGAGUACGUUUCGAAGAUUCUAGUGACAAGGGAAUGGAAACUUUGAGCCAUUAUACUCGAAAGCAUUGGGCAAGGGCAACUACUGAGGUAUUGGUGAAGAUAGGAGAUAUAGAAGAACCAAUAGUUGCUUUGGUGGACCAUGGUUCUGAAAUAAAUCUCAUGUCUAAAGAUCUUUAUAAGAAGCAAAAAUGGCCAAUUGAUAUGGAACAUGGAUGGGCAAUACGAGCAGCUAAUAACACACGAGGCGAAUUAUAUGGAGCUUGUCCAGAUGUCAAAAUUCGGAUUGGGGAUGUUGCUACGGAGCAACAUUUCUUCGUUCAAGAUACAACGUCUUAUCCGUUGAUUUUAGGACAACCUUAUAUCACGGCAACACGGAUGGAAACAAAGGUACUUGACGAUGGUUCUGCUUAUGCAAGGGUACGGAGCGAAGAUGGGAGGAAAGCUGUACAAUUUCUAACAGUACCUCCUAACCAUGAACGGAAUCGAGAUAGGUUGAGGGAGAAACCAUUGCCAAAGAUUGUUGAAGGAUUUAAGGAUUUUGGGGAGGUACCACUGUAAAGCGAGAUUAUGGAGGUACAAAAGAGGAGGUACUCUCGCGAGAUGAAGGUGCCUUUGAUGCGAGUUUUAUUGGUAUAUUGGAGAAUGGAAAUAUUAUGUACAAGAAAGUUGAUGAUUUUAAAAGAAAAGAAAGAAAAAGAUUAUAUGAUAUUGAAGGACAGUUACGCAAGAUGGGUACAUUGCAAGAUGAUGAGAGGAUUUUGGGUGUUUAUGAAGAAAAUGGGCUGGAAGAUUCAUUAGAAUUGAUUACAUCUAUUGGGUUAGGAGAUAAUGAUAAGAUUGUUGAGAUUCAUUCGAGAGAGGUUUAUACCAUGCUUGAAUCUUUUCAAGUACCAGAAGUCACAGUAGAGACGAGAUAUAAAACGGCAGAUAAGAAGGUAAAGCCUGUUGCCGGACCAUUACCAGAGGAUUCUAAAGAACAAAUGGGAGAAGCAUCAAAAGAAGCAAGUUUAAGAGAUCCAAUGAGUAUUGGACAUCAGUUUACUGAAGAGACUUUUGAAGAAUUGAAGAUUGGUUCUGAUGGUUCUUUAUUGCCGGAAGAAAUUACUUGCUUCAAAAAGAUGUUGGCUAAACAAGGUAGAUCGUUUGCCUUCGAAUCUCAUGAAAUUGGGUGUGUGGAUCCAAAUAUUAUAACACCUAUGGUUAUCUUCACUGUACCGCAUGUACCUUGGAAUCUAAGACCGAUUCCAGUACCGAGGGCACAUUUACCUAAAUUGGUGGAACUAUUGAAAGAAAAGAUAAAGAUGAAAAUAUUAGAACCUUCAUUUGCGCCGUAUUCUAGUCGAUGGUUUACGGUACCUAAGAAGAAUGGGUCACUGCGGUUUAUUCAAGAUAUGCAGCCGGUGAAUGCUGUAACUGUCAGGAAUGCAGGAAUUGGACCUAUUGUGGAUGAAUUUGCUGAGCCGUUUGUUGGAAGGGCGAUCUAUUCAAUGGGUGAUUUGUAUUCAGGUUAUAAUCAAUUUCAACUUGCCGUAGGAAGUAGAGAUAUGACAACGAUGAGGACACCGCUUGGAUUGGUUAGAAUGUGCACUCUUCCUCAAGGCGCGACCAACUCAGUUGCGCAUAUGAUGAAUGGGAUGAAUAAGGUAUUGAGAGAUUUUAUCCCGGAAAAGACUAUGCCUUUUCUGGAUGAUGUUCCUAUAAAAGGGUGCAAAGAAGGAGACAAGGAUGAAACUUUAGAUACGAGGGGGUGUCGCAGAUAUGUUGUUGAUCAUAUACAAGAUUGUGAAAAGAUUUUAACUCGGCUUGGAGAAGUUCAUCUUACAUUAUCGGGUAUGAAGUCCGUAUUUGGAGUGCGAGAGGUUGUAAUUGUUGGACAUUUAUGCGGAUCUUACGGAAGAAAACCAGAUCCGACUAAAGUUGAUGCAAUUGGAAGGAUGAAAGAAGAUUGUGGUUCUUUAACAGAGGUUCGCAGGUUUUUGGGUGCAUGUAUAUUUUAUCGAAUCUGGAUCCCUCAUUUUGCUUACAUAGCGGAUCCAUUAUAUGAACUGUUACGCAAGGGUUACCGAUUUGAAUGGGAAGAAAGGCAUAUUCAGGCAAUGCAAAGAUUGAAGAAAUUUUUGAUGUCACCUCCAAUAUUGAGGAAGGUUGAUUAUAAGUGCAAUAGACCAGUGAUUCUUACUGUAGACGCUAGUCCAAUUGCCGUUGGAUGGGCUGUGGGUCAAGAUGAUUCGAAUGGGAGUAGAUUUGCAGUUCGAUUUGGGGCUAAAGUUUUAAGUAUUCGUCAGCGUGCAUAUUCGCAAGUCAAAAGAGAACUUUGGGGAGUCGUUUCGGCUAUGAAAGCUGAAAAGGACUAUUUAAUUGGAGCAGUAGUAGUAAUUGAAACAGAUUGCUUGCCAUUGCUUGGAAUGAUUAUUAACUGUUCAACGCCAGAUAUUGCAAUGUUGAGAUGGAUUGCUUAUAUUAAGUCACUAAAUCCAGAAUUUAAGCAUAUCACUGGAAAGGACAAUUUAGUAGCAGACAUGCUAUCUCGAGCAAGAUACGAGAGGGAGGAUGAAAUGGUUGAAGACAUUGAUGAUGUCGGAUUGAAAUUCUAUUCAAUACCAAAUCUCAACAGAGAAGACAAGCUAUUUCUUGAAGAAUCUUAUGAAGGAGAAUUAUUGGAUAUUGGUCAUUAUUUGAAUACCUUGUCUAAGCAGGGGAAUUGGUCUACAGAAAAAUUCAAACAAAUAAGAAAAAAAGCAUAUGGAUUUUUACUUCGAGAUGGAUUCUUAUGGAAGAGACCGAAGAAAGGAAUUGGGAUGCCACAACGAGUGAUAGGCAAAAGGGAAGAAAAACUAAAAUUAUUAAAGGAGUUUCAUGAUAGUUUAUGGGCAGGCCAUAGAGGAAUCUGGGCUACUUUUGCUAAACUCAAGGAACGAUAUUGGUGGAAAAAUAUGUAUCGAGAUGUGCUCUCAUUUGUAGAGUCAUGAGAAAUCUGUCAAUCGUAUUCUAAUAUCCGACAUCGAGAUGGUCUUCAUCCUACGUAUCCUCUGGCUAUUCAUUUUAAAUGGGUUGUUGAUUUGGUUAUUAUGCCGGUUGGGUUAUGGCAGAUGAGAUAUUUGGUUUUAGCUCGUGAAGAUUUAUCAAAUCAAGUAGAAGGAAGAGCAUUGAGGACAAAAUCUACAGAAGGGAUUUGUAGGUUUUUGCUUGAAGAUGUCAUUUGCCGUUACGGGUGCGUAGGAAAAAUCACUACAGAUUGUAGAGAAUUAAAUGCACAAGAAGCUCGUAAGUUCUUUGAAAAAUGUGGAGUUAAACUAUCACUUACUACUGCUUAUAAUCUGGAAGGGAAUGCGAAAAGCGAACCCGGUCACCCCCCGAUUGUGAAAGCAUUGGUUAAAGCUUGUAAUGGGAAGGUUAAAGAGUGGCCACGGCUUUUGUCAUUUGCAUUAUGGGCUGAUCGAACAACACAUAGUUCGGUGACAGGAUAUAUGCCAGUAGAACUUAUGACAGGUCAAAAACCAAUUAUGCCGAUUGAAGAAAAGGUACUUACUUGGAGUAUGCUACCAUAGGAAGAUGGAUUGACAAGAGAAGAACUUCUGGCUAUUAGGAUUCGACAAUAGGAGCAAAGAACGGAAGAUGUCCAGAUAGCAUUGGAAAGGUUAAAAAGAGCAAGGUUACAAAACAAGGCGCGAUUCGAUAAGCAACAUCGAUUGAGACCAAAAGCAAUCAAGGAAGGUGACUGGGUACUUGUUUAUGACAAUAGUCUGGAUAAUCAACAUAGUACUUUGCGGAAAUUUUCAAAACGUUGGUUUAGACCAUAUGUUGUAACAACUGUUCAUGAUAAUGCGACUUACUCAUUACGGGAGUUAGAUGGUACAAAAUUGAAAAUACCAAUUGCAGGGAAGAGAGUAAAAAUAUUUAAACGAAGACACGCAGAGAUGAAUAUGGAAGACCUUAAUGAAGGUACAGAGAUUCCGCAGCAAGAAGAUGAAAGUGAUAUGGAUAAUGAAGGUGACGAAGACGAACUGGACAAAGACGUAGGGGAUAUAUUCUGAAUCAAACAGCAAUUGGGUAAAUUGGUACAUACCGGAGGAUGCACAGGUUCAGAGGGGGUGGAUGUCGUGUUGUAACACGAGUAUACAGUGAAAAUAAAAAGAAAGGGGAAUUUUAUUAAUAUUCAGUUACCUCGAAUAUUGGGAGCAUCGAUCAACUCCAAUACAAAUACUGAGUGGUCAGGUUCAGUGACUCCGUUACAGUCAGCCGGGGCAUACUGGAAUGCCCCAUUCGAUUCCAAUAACGGGAGUCAGCAGGAAGAGAAGGACUAAUUCACACGACGGGUUCGAGGAGCCAAUUGGAUCCAAUUUCAAGAAUCCAAUCCGGGUCCUCUUACCCAAUAUGAGACCUGUAUUGGUGGGGCAACCCAAUGCAGUCUAGUUACGGAAAAUCCAGGUCUUACUACGGGUCUUAGCCAAUCUGACGCGAGGACCAAUUUGACCCAAUUACGGGAACAUCCAGGUUACUACGGGCAUCUUUUCCAAUAUAGGACCUGAAUUGGUCGGGCGACUCAAUGUGGUCCCGAUUACGGGGUUCGAUUCUGUUUCAGGCUGUCCUGUUCUCUGUGCCGUCUCAGGGAACGUUGUUUUUGGUAAAUGGAUUUCUUAAAGGUAAAAACGGAGGAGAAAGCUUGAGGUGGGAGCCAAUUUCGGAUCCAAGCUUGAGGUGGGAGCCAAUUCCGGAUCUAAGACGGAAGAUUGAAGAAAUUCAGAGGAUAAGGUUAGGGGGGAUAUAGUUUUGGAGUGGUGUGGGUUUUUAUUGGGAUGGGAGGUUUUUGAAGAUCAAGGGAAUUAGAGAGAGGAGCUUCAUGCUUUGGGUCGGGAAAGGAAAGACAUAGGAUUUGGAUUUUUCUUCUUCGUAGAGUUUUGGGGAAGACUGAGGCAAUCGCUGCUGAAGUCAGUGUUGUAAUGGUGAAUCGGGAUUUUUAAAUGAAGUGGGUUUGAAUACUCUUGACUGUUUUGUGAAAUCGAGUUACGUCUAUGAUUGAAGGAUUAAAAGGGUGUCUAUAGGAUUGAGUAUGCGGAGUGAAUGAAAUUUAUUGGGUUAAUCUAACAAGACAGUCAGUGGAUACAAGAUCGUAAGUACAAAGCAGUAUUGAAGGUUAACAGUUUGGGUUGUAUGGGGUUCUCUGUAACGUCUAGAGACCUACCGGCUGGGGCAAAAAGGACUUCGACAAGCAGUCGAAGAGCACCCGUAUAGAUUUACGGUACAUUGUUGCAGUCGUUUAUAUUCCAGCAGUCAAAAACUGAUAGACUGCUUGACUAUCGACGAAUCUCCAUACUACCUUCUACAGCCAGACGCCCGGCGCGUUCUCGAGCAGGAAAGCAUGUAAUACGACAGCGGAAGAAGAGUUUGCUGAAGUUGAAGGACAAGUACAAGGUAUUCAAUACAAGGCAUUAGUGGGCUCACUAAUGUAUGUUAUGGUUGACACAAAGGUGGAUCUUGCAUAUGCAGUGUCGUGAUGUAACAUGACUAAUAGGUGAAAUUGUAUGGAAAUUAUUAUAAUAUAAGAGAUCUUAGUUCAAAUUAUUAGAGCAAAUUACCUUAAAAAUAUAGUUAAUAGUCAAAAAGGUAAUAAAACCAAAAGGUAUCAAUGCUGCCUUUUUAGAAAGGUGACUUCUACUUACUUUGUAGGACCAUAAAUAAGGCAAAACAAAGUAGAUUGGAAAAAUAAAUAAUAUAGGCAUCUUUAAAAAGAAUUUAAGAGUAAAUUCUAGUAAAAUUUAAUUAGAAAAACUAGAUAUUGAUAUCUAGAGAGGGCCGGUUAUGAACCAGGAUCAAAAUUAGACCCUGAGGCACAAAAUUGAGUCUCUACGACGACUCUGGAGUUCUUUUGUAAAUCGGAGAGUAGAAUUUGAUAGCAGAUUGGAUAAAAAUUUUAUAAACAUUAGUUUUGGAAAAUUUGGAGUUUUUAUGACUUUGUAAGAGCUUUACAAAGUUAAGAUUGUUUUUCAAUGACUUGGAUUUUGUGAAAUAAAAUAGGAUUGAUGUUUUUAGUGAUUUCAAGAGUUUUAUAAUAAAUCUAUAAGUAAAAUUUUGUGGGUUAAUGGUCAUAGUUGUGCUUAAUAUGUGUUGUGAAUCUUAGCUCGAUCUAACGAUUGAAUUGAGGAUUAUUGAAGUUUAAGUGAGUCAAGAUUUGAGAAAGUAGAAUUUUAGGUCCAGUGAGGAUUUUUAAGAUUUCUUGCAAUCUACUAAUUAGAUUGGAAUGAAAUUUAUGUGAGAGGAUAUUAGACUUAUUUUUCUAUAUGUAUGAGAAUUUUGAAAUCAAUCGAACGGUGAAAAAGAGAGAUAUUCGGUCUAUGAAAUUGGCAUCAAGAUUGGAAAAGGAGGCAGGCCAAUACCCGAGCACAUUUUUGAAAUUAUCGUCUAGUUGUUAAGUCCAAUCCUUUUCAAAAAAAUUUGUGCUUGUUUUUAAUUUAGUUUUUAAGAAGUAUGCAAAAUUUGAGUUAAGAUCAACGGUUCAUUCAUUAGUUAUUGAGGUUUAAUUAUAUUAUAGAAAUUACUAGGAUUUGAUUAGGAUUUGAUUUAGGAUUAGGGUUUGGUUAGGGUUUGGUUUAGGGUUUAGGAUUAGGAUUAGGAUUUGGUUAGGAUUUGAUUUUAGAUUAGGGUUUGGUUAAGGUUUGGUUAAGAUUUGAUUUAGGAUUAGGAUUUAGUUUAAGAUUUAGGAUUUGAUUAGGAUUUGAUUUAAGAUUAAGGUUUGGUUAAGAUUUGAUUUAGGGUUAGGGUUUGGUUUAGGAUUUAGGAUAAGAGUUAGGAUUUGUUUAGGAUUUGAUUUAGGGUUAGGAUUUGGUUAGGAUUUGAUUUAGGAUUAAUAUUUGGUUAGGAUUUGAUUUAGAGUUAGAAUUUAGUUUAGGAUUUAAGAUUAGGGUUAGGAUUUGAUUAGGAUUUGAUUUAGGAUUAUGGUUUGAUUAGGAUUUAGUUUAGGAUUUAGGAUUUGAUUAGGAUUUGAUUAGGAUUUGAUUUAGAAUUUAAGAUUAGAAUUAGGAUUUGGUUAGAAUUUGAUUUAGGGUUAGGAUUUGAUUAGGAUUUGGUUAGGAUUUGAUUUAGGAUUAGGGUUUGGUUUAAGAUUUAAGGUUUGGUUAGGAUUUGGUUAGGAUUUGAUUUAGGAUUAGGAUUUGGUUUAGAAUUUAGGAUUUGAUUAGAGUUUGAUUUAGGAUUUAGGAUUUGAUUUAGGGUUUAAGGUUUGGUUAGGAUUUGUUCAAGAUUUCAUUUAGGAUUUAGGAUUUUAUUUGAAUUUAUUUAGGAUUUAAGAUUUACUUAGUUUUUGGCCUAAAGUUUGAAUAAAGUAAGAUUUCAACUAGGAUUAAAUUAAGAUUGAAUUGGAAUGUAUUUGAGAUAUGUUUGUAAUCAUUCUAAUAUUUCUAUAAGAUUUCUUAUUAUUUCUUUGGAAUGCCUUUGAGGUUUCUCUAAAUUUGAUUAAAGUUUGUUUAGCAUUGUUAGUGUUCUAUUAGAAUUAGGAUUUCAUUAUUGCAAUUUCCAUUCUACCUUCCAUAGUCAGGUGCCCGGAGCAUUCUCAAGCAAGACUUCACAUAUUACGACAACAGUGAGUGUUGUGAGCCAACAUAUAUUAAAGGUUGGACCAAUACAUUAGACAACCAUCAAAAGAAUCAUGACAUACUUAAAAGGUACUUUGAACUUCAUAAAAAUAACUUAGAAGUGAUAGCAUUACUAUGCAUGGUUAUUAUUAUGUAGAUUGGAUUGAAGAUGCAAAUGAUAGAAGGUCAACAAUGAGAUAUGUAUUCUUUGUUGGAGUGAAAGCAAUUUCAUGGAAUUACAAAAAGCAACCAACAAUUACAAGGUCAAUAAUGGAAGCAAAGUAAAUGAUAGCAAGCCAUGGUGCAAUGGACGCAAUAUGGCUAAGACAACUUUUGAAAGACAUUGGAGUAGUACAAAUGGAAGCAUAGUCAAGUGACUAUCAAGGAUGUCUUUCUUUUACAAAGAAUCCAAAGCAUCAUUCAAGGACCAAAUACAUUCACAUUUAACAUCACUUUAUAUGAAAGAAGAUUGAAAUAGAAAUAAUUGAUAUAAAAUAUUGUGCAAUAGAAGGCAUGCUUGCUGAUUUGUUGACAAAGGCAUUUGUAAAAGAUAGACACUGGAUAUUGACAAAGGCUUUAGGAUUCAAAGUCCCUUGACCAGUAGCAAAGUGGGAGUGUUGAAGUAAAUAAGUAAAAAUAGAAUAAGUUAUGUAGUAAAAGAUAUUACCUUAGGUAGGUUGUUAAUGGUCAAAGGAUUGACUCUUGGUGUAUAAAAAGAGCAUCUUAUGGAUAUAGGACGACGUCAAAGACUAAGAAUCAAAAUCAAGAUGAUAAAGUAUGAAUUAGGAAAUAUCCAAAGACUAAGUAAGAAUAAUUAGUAUUUGGCAUAAGAUACCCUUGUGUUUAGUAAGAUGCCAAAAGAUUCAAAGACCAUAAGAUAUCUUUGAGGUACAUUAGAUGCCAAAAGAACUUAGGACUUAGGAUCAUGUGUAUAAAAGUCAAAGAGUAAAAGAUGUCUUAUAAGAUAGCAACUACAACCUAUAAGUAUUGGGUGUUGGAAAUAAAAGACAUCUUACUCUAUACUCUAUUUGUAUGCAACCUUGUUGAUGAUAUGUGUUGUGACUUCAAAGUUCUAUUUCUUCAAUAUCUUGUUCCCUAAUUUAAUUGUCACUUCUUCUACUUACAUCUAGUUUGCUUAUUUCUUUGUCACUUCUUGCUCUUACUUCUUAUUUGUUUACUUUGUUUUUACUUCUAAAUUUGUCACUUUAUUCUUACUUUUUUUUUCUUACUUCAAUAUAAUUACUUGUUCUUAUUUCUUAUUUUCUUACUUCAUUGUCACGUCUUCUUCUCAUUUCUUAUUUGUUUAUUUUUUUUUAGCUUCUAAUUUCUUUACUUUAUUUUCACAUCUUAUUUCCUUCCUUCAAUGUUAUUACUUGUUCUUAUUUCUUAAUUUCUAACUUCAUCAUUACUUCUUGUUUUUACUUCUUAUUCUCUUAUUUUGUUGUCACUUUUUCUUUUUACAUCUUAUUUGAUUAUUUCUUUGUCACUUCUUAUUCUUAAUUCCUAUUUACUUACUUUGUUCUUACUUCUAAUUUCUUUACUUCAUUUUCACUUCUUUCCUUACUUCAAUAUCACUAUUUGUUCUUAUUUCUUAUUUCUUUACUACAUUGUCACUUCAUGUUCUUGCUUCUUGUUUGUUUAUUUUAUUGUCACUUCUUCCUCUUAAAUCUUAUUUUCUUAUAUCUUUAUAACUUCUUGUUUUCACUUCCUAUUUAUUUACUUUGAUGUUACUUCUAAAUUUGUUACUUUAUUUUUACUUCAUUUUUCUUCACUUCAAUGUCACUACUUAUUCUUAUUUUUUAUUUUUUUACUUCAUUGUUAUUUUUUGUUUCCACUUUCUUUUUAUUUAUUUUUUUCUCACUUCUAAUUUUCUUACUUUUUUCUCACAUCUAUUUUCCUCAUUUCAAUGUUACAACUUAUUCUUAUUUCUUGAUCCUUUAUUUCAUUGUCACUUCUUAUUCCUUUAUUUUGUUUUAACUUCUUGUUCAUAUUUCUUAUUUACUUGAUAUAUUUUUACUUGUUUUUAUGUCACUUCCUAUUUUUUUAUUUUAUUCUCACUUUUAAUUUAUUGAUUUCAUUCUCACUUCUUCUAUCCUUACUUCAAUGCCACUACUUGUUCUUAUUUCUUGUAUCCUUAUUCCAUUGUCACUUCUUAUUCUUACUACUUAUUCUCUUAUUUUGUUGUCACUUCUACUUUGUACAACUUGAUUGCUUAUUUCAUUGUCACUUCUUGUUCUCACCUUUUAUUUGUUCUUACUUCUAAAUUCUUUACUUUAUUCUUACUUUUUUUUUUCCUUACUUCAAUAUCACUACUUAUUCUUAUUUUUUAAUCUCUUAUUUCAUUGUCACUUCUUGUUCUUAUUUCUUGUUUCUUUAUUAUGUUGUAACUUCUUGUUCUUAUUUCCUAUUUGUUUAUUAUGUUGUUACUUGUUGUUUUCACUUUCAAUUUGUUUACUUUGUUUUCACUUCUAAUUUCCUUAUUUCAUUCUCGCUUCUUCUUUCCUUAUAUCAAACUUACUAUUUAUUCUUAUUUCUUGUUUCUUUACUUCAUUAUCACUUCUUGUCCAACUUUUGGUUUCUUUACUUUGUUGUCACUUCUUCUUACAUCUUCUUUGCUUGUAUCUUUGUCACUUCUUGUUAACACUUCUUAUUUACUUGCUUUAUUCUCACUUCUAAUUUCUUGACUUCAUUCUCAUUUCUUUUUUCCUUACUUUAAUAUCACCACUUGUUCUUAUUUCUUGCUUCCUUACUUCAUUGUUACUUCUUAUUUGUUUACUUUGUUAUCACUCUUUCUUCUUACAUCUUAUUUGCUUAUUUCCUUGUUUGCUUACUUCUACUUCACUUCUUUUUUCCUUACUUCAAUGUCAGUGCUUGAUACUAUUUCUUAUUCCCUAACUUAAUUGUCACUUCUUGUUUGUACUUCUUGUUCCUUUACUUUGUUGUCACUUCUUGUUCUUACUCUUUGUUUGCUUACUUCCUUGUUACUUAUUGUUCUUACUUCUAAUUUCCUUGCUUUUGUUCUCACUACUUGUUUAUUUUAUUCGUUGUGACUUCUAGUUCUUAUUGUUUCACUACUUCUUGCUCCUUUGUUCUCACCGAGAACGAGGCGCAACUUCAAGGCACACAGCAAGACCAAAAACGUUGAAACUUUUGUCCAAAGAUUUGUUCAUAUCCUGUGUUCGUCAUAGUAUGUCAUCUCUUCUUACGGUAUACCUAUAGUAUUUAGUUCGAAGCCUUCCAUCCUUCUUCUGUGUUGCUACGCUACGCACAAUAUUACUGUGUGACUAUUAUUCAUAUCAAUGUUACGCCGCCGCUUUGAGGCACCUUUGUUUUGUUCGUGUUUCAUGGUUCACUCUCGUUUCAAUAUGGUACCAGAACCACUUUCCUAGGACCAAUAGAGACGGGGUGAUUUCCUUGCAGUGAUAAGAUAACACACCUUGUUGUUUCUUCCUCAAGCAACACUAUCUCUAUCGAUUAAACUCAACACACAAUGGUGGAUCAAGUGGUCGCAGAUCCGAACGAGCCGUCAGAGUUCAGCUCCAACUCUGGAGAACAACCGGCACUGUCUGAGGCACUAGUUGUGGCUCAACGACCAUACCAAACAAGGGAAUGCUCGAUUCCAAAACAAUACCAUCUAGAGAGGCCAGACAAUUACGGGAUCUGGGCGUAUCAAAUGAAGAAUGUAUUACAAAGCGAUAAACUUUAUUAGUAUUGUACAACCCUGUCCACUUUGGAGCAGCUAAGAAGAGCUAGCACCCUUACUGCCAUCAAUAACAAUGCAAAAAUGCAGCUCUGCGACUCAUAAGGAGGUACAAGGAAGUGCACCUCUGUUUGACAAAAAUCAAACAAAGGUACAAAACUUACAACGGCCCUCGCAGAUACAUGCUUAUAGAAAAGUUUUUCAUGAUGAAAAAAUCAAAAAAACAUAAGUAUAGAUAGUUUUCUAACCAAUGUGAAAGAAGUAGUGGAUUUACUAGAGGAAGUAAAUAUAGAUCUAUCGGAAGAUGUUGGAGUUUGGGCCACCGUCAAAAACCUACCUGACAAGUAUGAAUUUUUUUAAACAAAUGACACUGGAUGGCGAUAAACUUUCAUGUUAUGAAGACAUGGAGUCCAAAAUACUUGCCAUAGAGAUGUCUAUGAACUUAUCAAAUUCUGAUCACUCCAGCGAGGCACUAUUGGCACACCGAAAUUGCGAUUAUCGCGACCAUUAGGGAGGCCAUACGUACCAGCAACCUUAUUCCCAAUCUGGUCAAUGUUCUACGAUUUUUGAAUUAGGGAGCUCAGGAUAGAGAUAUACCCAGAGGUCACAAUCUCCUACACCACAAAAUCCACACUAUAGUCAACAUCGACCACAUCGAUCGAAUAGUAGAUCGAUCGCUUCAUCAUCAACGUAUCAAUCGCGAUCAAAUUCAGCACCAUCAUCUACAUACCAACCUCGUUUCAAAACAUGCGGUUCCGAUCAUCCCAGAAAUGAGUGUUGUAAGUAUUGCAGCGAAGCUGGUCACUUCGAAAGAGAAUGCGACAUCAAAGCUCAUAUCGACAGGGCAAAGGAAUGGAAACAUUGGAUUUUACAAAAACGUUGUACCCGCCAUAUCGUCGACGCAUGUUUUUUUCAAUUAGAAAUCAACUCGAUUGAUUCUAGGAGUUCAAAAAUGAAGUAGUACUUGGAUUCCGGGCAUCCAACCACAUCACUGGAAAUCACCGUGCCUUCUCCUUCGUGCGCCCAUCUAGUGGGCACCGCAUCCGAUCUGCUGGCGGAUAUAGUCAUCACCGCAAUCGGUAAUGUAUCCAUAAUCAACCUUGCCAAAGAAAUAAAGUCUAUGGGAAACGUUCUUUUUUAGCCUGGCAUAGUCAAAAACCUCAUUUCGGUGGGCUACGUGGCUGAUAAAAACAUGAGUCUUGAAUUUGUCGUCGAAGAAUGCUUCAUCCGCCAACAACAAGACCACUCUCUAGUCGCCUACACCAAAAGAGACCGUGGUAAUGGUCUAUUCCACCUUGAUCUAUCCACGAUCCUAGACCCAAGAUAAGAUCCGCAUAUCGACGUAAUCUCUAAACCAAUUGAGAUACUCUCAUGUUGCCCCGAAUCCGAUUGCGACAUACGUGGCACGCUUGGCUGGGCCAUUAUCACAGCCGAUGACUAUCCCAAAUAAUUUAACAACACGCCGACCGCGAACUCCCUACAUUUUCAGGCCUCUUAAAUCCAUGUAAAACAUGUUUUCUCAGAAAACAAAGUAGGAAAGCAACCCCCAAAAUAGAACGACACCGAGCCUCCCGCAUCCUCGAAAUCAUUCACUUCAACGUUUGCAGCCCCUGCCCCAUCAAAUCUCUAGGUGGCGUAUCCUACUUUGUCACAUUCAUUGACGACCAUUCCAAAGAGCUUUGGACGUAUUUUAUGUCACACAAAAGCGACACUCUCCAAAAAAAUUGACAAUUACAAGCCAAAGUCAAAAAUACUUUUGGACGCAGCAAGAGAGGCAGUGCACCCGGUAGAGGAAGCCGCACUGGAAUUCUAGGCAUCAAAUGUUUCCUCGUCCCCAUCGAGUUGUGUCUUGCCCCACUCAAGCCUUCCCCUGGUAAAGCUUGAGACAUGCAAAGGAGAAGUAGGAAAACCAGCUUCAGGAUCCUAGGCGCCAUGCUGCAAAAGAAGGCUGCAUAAAAGGGUGAAAGGUGAUAAUAAACAAUACCUCGUCCCCUUGCCUCUCUUCAUGCUGUACCCACUCCACUUCGACUCCACUUUGACUCCAUUUCCUAUGAACAGUGUCCAACUCCAGAUUGCUAUAUUCACUCCACUUCAUCUGCACACUUACCACACUUCAUCUGCGCAUUUUGCACAGGAACACAUCGAUCCAAAAUACAACCAGCGCAGUCCUCAACGUCCGCGGUGACCUCCAUUAGGUACAUCACCCAACCACGUUUCUGUAAACCAUCGCUAACGUCACCGAUCCCAAAGCUCCAAACUCUCCCCAUCGAACACCCCGACCUGCACACCCAAUCAAGUCGCUCCACAAAACAUGAACAACAUAAAAGGAACCCUGCCUCAUCCCACACAACGGUCGCGGCUACCGCACACCUUCCACAACCACACUCACACAGCUUCCUGCUGCAUCUCCGCAACAACACAACCUCAAUAACACUUCCCAACCCCCACGGAACCGUUUCGCCCAUGCCAUGCGCACCCGUAUCGCACGCUCCCAAUCCGUCCACUCACCCACGCAGCGCCAACCAAAUGCACAGCGUCCCAACACCCGGAAUUGCUCACAUCCCCCAUAUCAGACGCCGUUCCCCCACGACGCUUCUUCCCGCUUCCAUUCGCUCUCUCACCCAAAUCAGACAUGCCGCGAGCCCUAGCAAUUCUCAUCACCGCUUCCGCGCCUCCCACCGAGAACGGGGGCCAACGAACAAGGCACACAGCAGGACCAAGAAGCCCCCGUGGAUUCCCCAUCCCUGCUCUCCACGCUGACUUGUAUGCUCCACAACCUUUCCACGUGCUCCACAAACCGCUGCCCUGGACUGCUGCUGCUCUCGGCUUCUGCAACUCCUACUGGAACUCCAGUUCGAACUCCUACUGCAACUCCAAUUGGAACUCCCAGUGCUUGCGCCCUCCUCCAUUCCACUUUGUCCCAGGGGUUCCUAUAACUAGGCAUGCUGUGCGCUUCCACCUUCAUUCCACUUCAUUUUCCUGUUUUGUUUUGCUCUCUUCGUAGAGGACCUGGCCUUGCUUGUGCUUCCUCCCUAGCCAUGGCGCCCAUCUCCAAGCAGCCCCCCAAGAGGAGGACCAUCAUCGUCCUCACUCCUCGAUCUCUGCCCCCACAGACAAUAAUCUCUGCCCCCACAAUCAACCCCAAGACAGCAACUACCCUUCCUGCCAAGCCAAGACAGCUUCCAAGGCACACCUCCAAAAACCCCAAGCCCAAAUUCAAUGCGCACUCGAAGCCACCCCAUGCUUCCGACUCUGCCUUGCACACACCCGCGCAUCCUCUUGUGCAGCCACAGCCAAACCCUGCUCAGCUGCUCAGGCCACACAUAAGGCCACGCGUUAGGCCCGAGCCACGCUGCAACAUUGCACCAGUGCUGGUGCCUAAGAUCACGCCAACCGUGUCCCCGUUGUUGUCGAGAAGGCUGGGCCGGAGGAUCCUCAUGAAAGUCUGGAUCCCUCCUCGACUUCCCCUCAACCUCAUCUUCCCCAUCGCCUGCAAGGUCACCCUGGCCCCAGGAAUCACCUUCUACCCGAUGUGAACCCUGCACCGCUUUCCAAAUGCACGCCUCCCUAGGGUUCAUAUGCGGGGCUAGGGUUCAAAUGCAGGGCUAGGGUUCAUAUGCAGGGCUUGGCAUUUAGACUCGACAGAUGAUAUGGCACACUUUUGGUGCGCCAUCUCAGUUUCAGUCUAUAGUGCACCACCAUUCCCCCAAUCUUGUAUUUUAUUCCCCCACUGAAUAAAACACUCCUGGGCCAUGCUCAGGCUUCCAGCAUUUGUGGAUGUAGAUGCACUUGCUGCUAUUUGUGGAUGUACUCCCUAAGAUUCCUUCACUCCACUCCUGGGCCAUGCUCAAGUUACAUCCACAAAAGGCAUCGCAUAACCUGACAAGAGGAUGAAAAAUUAGGUGUAAUUACGUUCAAGAAACUGCUAACCCUGAAAAAAACGCUGUAAGCAACGCUCAGAUGGCAUCCAUUCCAAUCGAUUAGAUAGUGGCAAAGACAUUCCUUAACUUCUCACCAAAAGUGCGUCAGUAAUGACAAUAUAUUCAGAUCACUAUCCAAUUAAUGAUGUGAAAGGGCUUUGCGGAUUGAGAAGUGACCAUGUUCACUCAUCCUCAGUCCAAUACUAAUGCGAGAAAAAUCGAUGCAAAGUCAAGUCUAAUUUUUGAAAACGGUAAGGUACAAUCUCGUCUCGACUCUUCCCAAGAAAUGACAUGCAACCAUUAGCUAGAUCUUCUUGCGACGUCUUCGAACCUGUAAUAAUGCCAGAAGUUUUAUAAGUAUAUAAGCAUAGAGUAACACAGAGCCGCAAGAAGUAUUGGCAGCAUGAACGUUCUAAUAUACCAUGGUCAAGAGAUGUAUCCUUCAUGCAUCUGGUAAACGUUGAAAGAUAGAGCCAAUAAAUCAAUACAUAAAGUAGGCAUUGGCCAGGAAUGACGUUGAAAGAUAGAGCCAAUAAAUCAAUACAUAAAGUAGGCAUUGGCCAGGAAUGAGAAAGAUCAAGCUAAACGCACCUUUUUAAGUGAUCCAAAAUCAGAAGCCUGGGUCCUGGUGGAAUCUGUACAUCUCUUAAAGAACUGCACAGACCAACAUAAACCAAGUUCAGCCUCGAGUAUCAUUGAGUAAAGAUUAUACUAUGCCAAAAAGCACAGUUCUCCACGAAACUAGCUUUCAUACCCAAUGACCUUCUUUUCACAGUUGUGUUGUGGAAAAGAAAUAGGUUAAAAGUAUAUGUAGCAGUAACAAACCUGUCAUUUAAAAGAUGAAGAGUUGAAUCUGUCAACAUGCCCUUCUUGAAGUUCUUCUCGUACUUUUGCAAAUUAAGUUUCUCCAACAUAAUCUUUGAUCGCAAGUAGUCUUUGUCCUCACUUCUGAGCUAGUUAUCGCAUUCUUAGCUAGUUAUCGCAUUCUUCUUGAAUCUUAGCAAGGGAUAAUAAAAAGAAGUUGCGGUUUCUCCAAGUUAACUUCCAACCUGUUCACAACUUUCCAGGGUUCGUUCCGAUUAUGGUUUAAGUACGAAAUCCUACUUACACACCAAUGUCCUGCCUCAAACACGAGCAUGCAAGCCAAUUCAAAACAAAGACCCCUGAACCAAUCAAUAUACAGAAUUGAAUGACAAUUUACUAAAGAUUAACUCCCCUCGAUUCAUGAACAACCAUAAUCACGAAAAGGCACUCAACCAGAAGUAAAAAGAUCUCAUAAUUCAGCGAGAAUACAAUUAACAAGCACAAAUCACGAAUUUUACCAGAAACGAGAAGCCCUAAAUUGAAGGAUCCAGUGAAUUCCCAGUCACAAUUUCAUGAUCCCGAUUCACGAUAGCCACAAAUCCCAGCCUGGAGACCCACCUUGGCUUGCUGAAGCGAGGCAGCAGCCUCGGGGUUAAGUUGAGGCGAAGGAGUUGGCAUGGUAGAGACCACAUCUGCACUGAACGUCCCCAUGAGCGCGCCUAUAGCACCACCUUGCACAGCGCUCCCUGCUGUGACCAACGCUACCUCCACAGCAGCGGGCUGCUUCUUCAGCCAUACCUUGACAUCCUGGUCCAGCUGCUUCACCUUGAGCUGAAUCAUCUGGAUGGGAUUCCCAUCCGUUUUGUUCGUAGCCUGCAUCAUAGACGCUCCUCGAAAAACCCAACAACCCUAGAGCUCCAAGGCCAAGCUCAGAAGCUUGACGAAAGCGCUGCAAAAGCCAUUGGCGACAACUCCACAACACAAUCCAAAAGUUAAUCUGGGGCUCAUCGGAAGCAGUGGAGCAACCCCAGUCCGGUUCUCAAUCCUGAUGUCAUGUCCAACACCGGUCUCGAUUCUCAAUCAGGACGUCUCACCGAUCACAGAUUUUGAUGUAUUUAUGUGUAGUGUCUAAUCUCCUGCUGUGUUUGGGAGCGUCUCCACUAUGUCUUCUGAAGAUUUUGAGAUUACUGGUUGGAGGGGAGAUUAAAUAGGAUUUUCAGAUUUUAGUAGAGAAUUUCAUUGAACAUCUUUUUAGAACACAUAUUAGUAUGUUCAGCAAUUGUAGUAUUAACAUGCGUAGAGUUAAGAAGAUUACAUCAUUAAUGAAUAUAUUUUAUGCGGAAUUUUAAUACAAGAUUGGUCUGUCUAGGACUGGACUGUUAAUUCUACAUCAUGGGCAUGACUAAAAAUAUCUUUGAAACCUUGGCAAUGGUCACUUAGUACCAACAUGUCUGUGCAAAACAUGUGUAGUACCAACACUCAAUCAACUUUUCUCAAAUCUUAAUUUGGAUGCUCACAUUAACGGUUUAAGCAAUGAAAAUUGAUUUCACUCCCUGUCGUGAAUGUGUUCCUGUGACAACUCCUCAACUUCGCUUGAUUCUUUGGAAAAGCAAAUAAUUUUCGCAGCAAUCACUUGGAAAAAAUAUCUACCGUAAAUUUUACCUGGGAAUGUCGAAGUAAAAAUGUAAAGAAGAUUCAAAUUUGUGUCAUAUACUGGUGUUAAGGAGAAGAAAUUGUGGGCCGGAUGUGAGCCCCAGCGCGACGGCGCAGCGCCUUGGGAACGGAGUUGAGUCUCGAUAGGUCAUUCUCCAAAGCAGAUUGCGCUUCCAUCGCAGAAGCUGAUGAACGUCGGUUCCGUUUGGCGGAUGUUGUUGCGUUCACGACAACACAUUUUCAAGGAACUAGAAUUUUUGUCCUGGGUCAACAAAUGUCGCCGUUAACAAAGUGUGGCGAAAAGAAGCUGGUAUUCGACUUUCCCGACCUCUCUCCUUGCACCAUCGAGGAGCCGUAGAAAUCCUCCACCCCCUAGAAGCAAGGUAAUGGUAGUAUAUGCGCCGCUGUAUACGCCAAAAUUAGCCUGCCAAGAAUCGGGAGCCUCUCGAUACGCAAAUUCAUACCACAGACGCUAGGAGCCCAAAUCUAGCAUGACGAGCGACACCUCUGGAGGUUAUAUUUCAGACAUGAAUCUGGAAAUCGCCCACCGUCAACGUUGGCAUCUAAAUUUACAGGGGUGAGAAAACAUGGCCAAGGUGAUGGGAGCCGUUGUGCGAGAGCGUCGUGCAAGUGAUAGAUAAGGGCGUGCGAACGGCGUGCACAUCUUCGAUUCAAAUGUUAGCCAUUCGCGGGAUUCGUCCAAAACCCCCAAAUAUGCUUCAGGUUGUAUUUCUUGUGGUUGAUUAAAACAACAAAAACAUAAAAUAAAAAUAACUCAAAACUAAUCUCUCUCUCUCUCACUCACUCACUCACUCACACACACACACACACAUACACCAGUUUAAUUCUUAGCCAGGAACGGUGACGGUGAAUUUUUUGUGUCUGCUCCAAACCCUCAAACCCCCGCUUUGGCUCUCCGUCAACGUAGUCCUUUCGCAGUUGGACUUUCAUAGUCAUGUGAUGUGUCAACGUUUAACGGUCUGAACCCCUUUGAGCAGUUUCCGUUUAAAAAAUAUAAAAAUCGUCUUUUUCUUUUCUUUUCUUUUCUUUUUUUUUUUUUUUGCCUGUAUCUGUACUUUUCUUUGCAGUCUCACUGUCAAUGUACAGGUGAACACGGCCAUACAUGAUCUGGGUCCUCAAACAAAAUGUUUACGUUUAUCAAAACGUGAACAGAGCUUCCACGAGCAGUAGGAGAACAUUCUAUUCAGAGUGCAGAUGGAGGCCAAAUUACAACGCUCGGCGAUUCACCGUUAGACUUCUGCACUUGGACCGGAGGGCACACACACAUCCAACAGAAUUUUCACAACUCCCAAGGCACUAAAUACAUAGGAUUCAAUUUUCAACUGCCUUCUGUCAUUGGGGGGUAAUUGCAAGUGGCAAAGUUCGGAAAUGGGUGGGAGUAAAUAUUUUUAUUAGGGGAUAUUUCACCAAAUGAAGAGUUGGAUCAAUCACCACGUAAUGACCAACAUUCAAGAAGUUCGUCUGAAUUUAGAAGUUAUAAAAGGGUUGACAUUUGUAGUAAAUAUUUGUUCAAUUUUGAAAUUCAAGUGGAUUCAAUUUUUUUUCGGGUAUGGUUAUUUAUUUAGAUAUUUCAAGAAUGAUAAGGCUGAUGAGCAUAGUUCAAAUAAAGAUUUAAUAUCAUUACAUACAAUGUAGCAUUUAGAUAAUAAGCUCAUAAUAAAACUUAAGUUUGUGAACUUUGCUAAUAUUUAGGUUUAAUGUUGGUAUUUCAUAGAUACUAAGAUUCUACUCUACCACAUUUGCAAGACUUUCUAGUACAUAGCAUACUUCUAAAAUUUAAUGAUAUAUAUUUUAAGAAAGAAUUAUAUUCUCUAUUAAUUAUACUUCUUUCAAACUUUUGGAAUGGUAGGUAAGCAUUGGAUAUUAAGCAAGGAAUAAAACCCUUUUUCUAAACUCAACCUUUAUAGAUGAUAAUUAGUAAAACAAUAUUCAUCUAAAACGAUAAAUUUAGAAGUAAUUUUAUAAAAGUAAUAGUAAAUUUAAUGUAGCUUUGGUACAUUAAUGAAAAGUAUGUCAAGACAUAUUUUUGAAAAAUAUGUCAAGAAAAUUAUUUUUCAUGUUGAACUUGCUACAAUGCCUUCUGAUCCCAGCUAAUUCCUUCAAAGCAUGUACUUUCAAAUGCAUUUUAAUAAGAUAUGUUGAAAAAAAAAUUAAAUAAGAAAUACAUAGAGAUGAUAAUGAAUUAUUAUUAUUAAUUCUAAAAACAUGUAAUAAAUAUUAUAAAUAUUAAACUUCAUGUGAUUUUAUUUUUUAAUUAAUAAGAUUGGAUUUUGGUAAUUUAGGCAUUAAGAAUUAUAAAAAUACUUAAUAAUAUAGUUAUUUUGUAGGAUAAAAUUACAUAGAUAGUUAGAAUGAAGUAGAAUUAAAAAUAAAAUAAAAGAGGCAAGGCUUUGAGAUUUUGAAGAUUUAUUAUGAAAUUUAAAAUAUGAUAAAUAAAAUUUAAAAUAGUAUAUAUAUAUAUAUAUAUAUAUAUAUAUAUAUAUCUGCAAAAAUAUAUAUAGACAUGUUUUGCAUAGUUUUAAUUAUUCCAAAAACAUAUUAUUACAUUAAUAAUUACAUUGUUACAUGGAAGAUUUAGAUAAUGAUAUAAAAAUAUAUCAAUAUUAAUAUUUCUUUGAUUAAUUUUUAUUUUCAUUGUAUCAAUGUUGGUAUUUUAAAAUAAUAGAAAAAAUAUUAAUUUAAUUUUUUUAUAAUUAAGAGAAUUAAAAAUUAACUAAAUAUUUAAUAUAAAAUAAAUAAUCAAAUUUAUUCUAAAGAAUUUUAAGAUCAAUAGAUUAAAUUUUAUAAAUAAAAUAAAAUAUUUUUAUUCACUUUUAUAUUUAAUUAUUAUUUAAAUUAUUCCAAAGAACAAGAAACUUAAAUCUAAAGAUGGUUGCAUAAAAAUUAGAAGGAUAAAAUCUUUAAUUAAUUUUUUAUCAAUAAUAAAGAUAUAGUCAAUUAAAUUUAGAUAUUACUAGGUAGAGAUCUCACUUUUAUUGUAUACACUCUUUUUUUAUUGCAUCAACCAUACAUUGUCCCUUCACUACUUCUCUCCCUCUUCUCUCCCUCUUCUCUCCCCCCUACCCCUCCUUCCAUGCUAUACCAACAAUACAUUGUUAUUAUAAGUUUUUCAAUAAUAUAGACAUAACUAAGUUUGAAAAGUUUAAAUACAUAAAAGUAAAAACAAAAACAAUAAUCUACAACAUACAAACAAUAGUGGCAUAGAAGGUAUCAAAGUAGACAAAACAACACUAAAAUAGAGGUGUCAAUCCAAUAAAACCACUAUAUAGACAUCUUCUCUCAUCUUUUUAUUUAUUUUUUGUUCUAUUUAACUUACAUUUUAUUAAUGUUUCUAUUUUAUUGGCAUUGUUUUUAUUCUUUCACCCUCAUUGAUAUCUAGCUUGUUUAAAAACUUGUAGUGAUGAUGUAUUGUUGGUGUGGCAUGGGAAUUAUCUAUGCAAUUAUAAAGGGAUGUCCACAUGUCAAAUGGGAGAUAUCCACCUAAAUUUAUUUUUUAUGAAAAUAUAACAUGUACAGUUUGGAUUGCUAAUACAUUUAAAAAUAUUUUUAAAAAUAAACUAUUAUUUACUAAUAAGAACAUAAUUGUGUAACAAAAUAUAACAAGUAUUGUUAUAUAUUUCUUUAAUAAUAACAAAGAAACAUCAUAUUACAAAGCAUAAUAAGUAUCAAAAAUAUAUCUUCUUAAUUGUCAUGUUGUGCUCUAUUCAAAUGAUUUAGACUGUAAAUCAUCACCAACACAAUGUUUUCCUCCACCACUUCUCAAAAUCCUUGAUUUGAUGGCCAAUCGAUAGUAGAUCAAAUAUCUAGGCAGGAAUCAAGGAAGAGAGGAAAAGUACAACAAAUAGACAUGAAUCUCACCGUUGGAAUGGCACAAAUACAUCAUUCCUCCACAACACACUUCCAACAUUGGACUCAGGUCAAAACAGAAUUAGCCAUGGAUUUAAAAAAGAAAAAAAGAAGAAAAAAAGAAAAGAAAAAAGGCAUAACCUCCUCAUGGUCACAAACACAAAAUGUAUUCUCCAGAAAUAAUCGGACCACCAUGGAUCUCAAAUUCUUUGCAGUGCACCCUUACAUUCCCCAUGCAUUGGCUCCUUGCCCUUCAGAACAAAGUUGAUUCUCGAACAUCGGAGAAGCAGUCGAAUAGCAGUACAGCAAGCAUCCCAAUCAUGUGCAGAUCACAAACUGUGCAAAAAGAGCAAAGACUCUGCACCACAAUCCAAUUCCAAUGAGGGGGCUCAUCAACGCUCCGCAUCAUCCGAAACGCGAACCCACAGUGGAUGCAAAAAAGCAGUUAAUGCUCCGAGUGACCUAUAUUUUCAUCCAGAAUCAGGAGCAGCUUCCUAGGACUCCAUGGCGUAGUAAAUGAGGCGAAUCAGGUUGAACUAGGGGUGUGGGGCAAUGUCAACUUCGCAUUUGCUGGGAAAUGGAUAGUGGGGAGCAAUGAGAGAGGCGUUGUAUUGAGCAGGAAUUUAGGGCGGUGUUGUCAGCCCUUAAUGUGCCCGCCCUGCAAUUGUGCAUUGAUUUAUAUCGUGACAGCUCGGGCACGCGCGGCCCCACCUUCUGAUGAAUGCAAGUUUGGUCUCAGAUGGUGGACUCCUGCUGUGUCUAAAAAGCUGUAAUCGGAAAAGUGGGUCGGAGAUUUCGAGAAGUAAAAAAAACAAACGUGUACACAGACCGAGUCACUUGUGGUUUUUAACCCACAUUGCUUAAACACUUGACAUUGCACAACAGUCCCCUGUGCCAUUGUAUCGGUGCAUUAUAUGCGGCUAAUUCGCUGAAUGAGUAUUUCUUAAAAUCAGUUUUUUGUAGUGGCUCUCACUUGUAUUGCUCAUCUUACCAGUAUUUUUGGGUAAAUGGCAUAUGAUAUCGAAAUACCCUCAAGGUAUCAUGUAUGGUGUUAUUUUAAAACUAGCUGAAAUUGAGUCUCGAGAAAUUAUAAGAUAUCUGAAGGCGCAUUCAUGGCUUAUGGUGUGCUUAAAAAAUUAUGCUCCUUACCUUCCUAAUGAUCUUUGAUUAUCCUGCCCAAUCAGGAUAGUUCCCUAACCAGAGACACAAGCUCGCAUAAUAGCAACGUUCCAUUACAUGAAGGGACUCACAGAGCAGCAACAGGUUUGGGGGGGCUUUUGUACAUGUUCUGAACCGUCAUUAUUGACAACAAAUUGCUAAUUCAUGUUCAGAGGCCGUGAAAAUUGAACCAAGUCUUCUCUCCAGCUAAAUUGAAGAGAUGGUUACGAUUAGAAGCUUGAAGGAAGCGAAAGUCUUCCUGGUGAAUCAUCUACUUCCUCAGUUAUUGUUGAUGACCACAUUAAAGUUUCGGGAGAGAAUAGAGGAAUGCCAUGAGCAAUGAAGCACUGAAUCAAUCUAUUCAAUUAAUGCGUAGGUUAGAAACAACCUUUCCCAAGAAAUGUUCCCGCCAAGCGAGAUCCCCACAAGGCAAAAGCUUCGCUUGAGUUGACCACUUCAUCUUUCAAACAAACUUAUUCACAAAUUCUCCAACGCAGCUUGUCUCACACAUGAAAAAUCAAUAGCCAACACAAAUACCCAUAAGUUCCAAGCGCUCGAACUCGACGUGGGUCAUGCAGAACACUCAAGAAAAAAAUCUUGCGCUUGUCACAGACAUGAGAUGAAAGCUGUGUGACCCAUAAAUCGCCAAAAACUGGAGCAAUAUCUGGCUGCGUGGCACAAGAAAUCCAUGCGCGAAUGGACCAAAGCGGCGGCCCUAGCCUCCAGGUUUGACUCCACCGUAAACCGCACAGGCAUGAACAAUCCAUAAGUGAGAACUGAAGUUUUGGUAAGAGAACAGGGACGCGACGCGUUCCCAAUGAGGGGAACAUUUCGGCGGGCGGGGAAGCGCGGAGGCGUUGCGGCGUGGGGGGGAGUGUUGCUCGGUCCAUGGCACGCGCUGGUUUGCAGCAGACCAGGAAGGACGGGGAGUGAGAGAAAGUGAUCGAAAGAGAGAGAGCGAGAGUGAUUCUGGUGGGGCUGUUUGCCUGCCUGGCUCGCUGGAACUACGCUGCGUCCACGUUCUCCAUUCCCUUACUUCUACUUUUCCAUCACUGAGCAGUUUUUUUCCCCUUCGCCCCGAUCGAUGUAAUCACGCGCACUGCUCAAGAAAGUGGUUGGAUGGGACGAACCCACUCGCCAAUGGUCGCAAUUGCGCUUUCUGGGAGGUUGUUGGAAUCGGAGCUGGAGUUGUUGUGGGGGUUUUUGAGGUUUGCAGGUUGGAGAGUUUGACUUUUGAACCCUAAUGUUGAAUUGAGGGAGCGGUGAUAGAGAUUCGAUGGCGGGGUUUAUGGUGGCGGAGCAAGGUUUGGGAGGUUGUGGAUUGUUGGUUUGAAUGGAAAGGUGGGUUGGGAUCGUAGGGACGGGAUCGGGGGUUCGCCUGGGCUGAGGGGGAGAGUGGGGUGGUGGGUUUGCGCUGGGUCGAGUGUCUGAGGUGGCGUUUGCGUGUCCUAAGUUUCGCACCAGGAUUGCAUUGGGUAUCGGAUUGGUUGCUAAUUCGAUCAGCAGUGGAAUUGACGCGUCCUUUUUUGCAUCUUUUGUAGCAGUCCCUAAUGUUCGGACCGUUGAGGAGGCUAGAAUGUAGUUUCGCUUUUGUGCGGCAGGAGGAAGCGGGCACACUGCGAGUUCAAUCUGUAUGGGGAACGUCAGAAGUAGGUCUUUGACUGUUCCAGAAUUUUAGAAGAAUCCUAAUUUGAACCUCACCUUCAAUAUAGUGGAAGUGGAGAACCUUAGAGCGUAUCUUUUGACCCAAUCUGAGCGGCUAUUAGUGCCAUGUCAGUAAUCUCAAGUCGUUUGAAGCUUGGGUGAUCUUGGCCAGGAUAAGCUAGGAGGAAACCUCGUAUCUCCUCAGUGGAUCAUGUAGUCAUGGUCCCGGUGACUUGAAAAAUUAUGAAAUUAUCCUAGUAGAAUCCAUUUGAUUGUUUGUGUUCAAUCCGAGCUACCUGGCUGGAGAAUCUCACUUCUCUUUUGCAUCGUGUGUGCAGGCUGGAAACGUUCUAAUUGGUCUAUAAUCUUAUGAGUUUUGGGGUAUAUCUCCCAAGGAGUGUCUUUGUGCCGGGUUGAGAGGGUUUGGUCACUCAACUAUAUGAAAUUAUAGCUCAAUCUUGACUUCUUGACUUCCAAAGAGCGUGGAGUUCGUGUCGAGAAAUUGAGGCGCAGCUGGUGUGGUGGUGCCGGAACCGAGAAAGACAAAGGGGGUGGAAUUGCGCUUGCCAUUGCGAGUUGAAGUAUUACAGUUCUAGUGUGUUUUCGAAGGUGGAGAAAGGUAGCAGAUGCCUUGGAUUUGCAUGAGUGUUGUCUGUGGAGCAGAGUCGGAACUCAUCGUCGUGUUUGGGUAGUAACUGGAAAUUGGAAGCCGCUCAUUUUGAUUUGAAAUUGCAAGUAACUUGCUGUGGAGUACCUUAACAGUGGCACAUUUGGCUCUAAAAAAGGAUGUCAUUUAAGAUUCUUGUGAUCGAAUUUUUGGUCACUUCAAGUUUUAUAACUCCUGCUCGAUAGUGAGAUUUAGUAUAUUAGUUUUUGAGGAGGCACGAUGGGGAGACAUGUCCUUGAAAACACGGGAAGGAUGAAUUUGUGGAUGGAUUGUAGCACGUCUCAUUGGGUAUAAUCCGCUUGGAGAUGGCAUGGAGAGGACAACAAGUUGACAUCCCUUUGGACUGGAAUCCAGCUUCUUCCCUGCAAGCUUUUGCGGGUGUAGUCGAAUUCAUUGUGGUUCUUGUCUUUUGUUUUAUUCAUUACGCAGCGUUUCGAGUUCUAGGUAGAGUUGGCUCAAACCCUCCAAAUUCUUGUCGUAAUCGAUUGAGAGGAAAAUUGAGAAAGACCAAUUAUUUGAUAUAUUUUCUAGGUCGCAAUGGAAAACUUUGCUGGGCUAGUUGCUGCAGAUAGUGCAGUAAAUAAUAGAUUAGGUCAAAUUUCUAAGGAUUCAUUGGCAGAGUCUGCGUCUGAAGAUGUAAGUGUUGAGAAUGAAUUAGGUUACAUUUCACCGGUUAGGAAUGUCAAAGAUCAAGAACAGGAAGAUAGGGACAGAGACCAAGAUUUGAAGGACAAGGAACUUUAUGAAGCUCUUCAGUGUGAACGUGAAACACUGGCUGCUCUGUACAGCGAGUUGGAAAAGGAGAGGAAUUUCUCCGCAACAGCUGCUAGUGAAGCUCUUGCAAUGAUUUCUCGUUUGCAAGAGGAGAAAGCUGCUGUACAACUGGAGGCUCGGCAAUUCCAGCGGAUGGUCCUCGAGAAGGCAAUGUAUGACCAGGAGGCAAUUGAAGCCUUGAACGAACUUCUCAUGAGUCGAGAGGAAGAGAAGCUUGCGUUGGAAGAAGAAAUUCGUGUGUGCAGAGAAAGAUUAGACUCUGUUAUGAAGGAAGAGAGGAGACAAUCAUUGAAACCUAAUGCGAUCUCUGAAUCACCAAUUUUAAAUAGAACCGGAAAGGUUAUUGUGACUCCAAGGGCUGUGAAAGAAGAGCAACCAAAGUGUAUUGAUAAGUUUAGCACCACCAAAAGCCAGCUCUACGCUGCAUUAAUACCUGACGCAGGUCGUGGUAUCGAAGCUGAAUUUGAGAAGGCUCAAAUAGGUGUUAGACCCAAAGUGGCAGGCCGUGAAAAUGGUUCCAGGAUUCCUCCUGCUAACUUGAAGAGCAAGGUUGGGAAGUCCGACGAGGGAGAGGAUGGAAAACAUGAAUUGACAGGGUACGUCAGCCUGAAAAGGAGAUGGGGUGCUCAGGAAGUGUCGCUAAAGACUUUGGACCAAACCAAGGAGGAAAGACGGAUAGAAGAGAAAAGGCUUUCCGUUUUAGAGUUUGUCCGAAAGUUUGAACAGCAACAGCAAGGGGCAAGACUUCCUGUCUUACAAUCAUCUACCAAGCAUAGAAGUGGCGGUGACUCUAGGUCUAAAGCGCAUAGUGAUGAUGUUGAAGAAGGCACAGACUCACUAUCAUCGAGUAAGAACGAGACACCUUCGAGAGUUCUCACAAGAGAUCAUUCUAUGCGACGUAGACUAUUCCAGGAAGAUCAGGGUGACGAAGAGCGGGUCUUUAAUGUGUCCCCAGAGGAUGCCGAAGACGGAGGCAUCUAUGAUAGGCGUCGUAGUUGCGUUGGCACCAACGAAGUUGUUGAUGAUGAAAUGUGCAAGGGUAUCGAUGAUACAGAACAGUGUUCGGAGGAAACAUUGUUCGUGCAUGAUGUUUAUGAGGUGCAGAAGUUGGGGCCUGGAACGGAAGAUGCGGACUAUGUUCGCAAUUUUUCAAGUGCAGAGCCGCACCCAACAACCCCUUCAGAUCGCCUUGGCAAGCCAGAUUUGCAUAGUUUUGAUAGGGGUGAUAGGGAUUACGAGAGCGAACCAGAGCCCUUAUGCUUCAUUCACCCUGCACACCUUGAUGAAGACGUUGACGACUUAGACAAGGACUCUCCAUGGGAGGACUUACAAGGGAAGGUUAGGUACAAGAACCUACGGGUUUCUUCUUCGCUUAGGGGAGACGACACUAGCUCAGGUGUGGAAGAAGAAAUCGAGAACUUGACAAAUCGCUUGAAAACUUUGGAAGCUGACAAAUAUUUCAUGAAACAAGUUAUUGAAUCUUUGAAGAGAGAGAAUGGAGAGAUGAAGCUUGCUCAGCAGUUGCGCGAGUUUGGGCGAAUGGAACAGCAAGAGCUGUGGCCGAAACGGUUGCCGAUGACAUUUCAGUUUCAGGUAAAGUUGCAUCCAAUUCUCUUUGCUGCCAAUAACAUUGUUUUGCACUUUUUUCCUACAUUGUUUCAAUUUGACACAAUGAACUUAGUUUAUGGUCACGUCUGCUCUUUUGAAAUGAGCUGAUUUUACUUGCUCUCCAGCGCAUCACACCCCCAACAGAAAGUCUCGGUAUUGUGUGCAUUUAGUUUACAACCUAGGUAUUAGUGACCAGGGUUGAGUACUUAGAAACCCAGUUUCGGGAUUGAGAAUUUGGUGCCCUUCACUGACCGGAUGAAAUUGUUCCUUUCCUUAAGUUCUGAUGAGAGGUUUCUUCGUGUUUUAUUGACCUAAGGCUUGGGCAUUUGUUUCAAUGAGUGGCCAAUGUGUAUGUGGGGAGUGUAUUAAUAUAGCAUGCUUGGUGUUUAUGGGUGUUUUUCGGGUAUCAGGGCAUGAUGUCAUUCGCUCGUUUGUGCAACAAUGCUCAGGCCCGUUUGAACAAGUGAGUAGAUCGCAAUGCCUUUCUCAGGCUUAACAGUGACACUUAUGUUCUCCAACUUUGUUCUACUGACUUUUCGAAACAUGCACUUUCAUUUGUAUUGCGCCUCGUGUUAGAGGGAAUGUUUAUUUUAAUGACGUUGCUUGGGAGUAGAUCUCUAACAUUGUCUUGAGUCGGGCGUCUAGAUUUCUUGCUGUUUGGAGUUCAAAUCCUUAAUGAAUACCGCAUACUUGCAUUGAGCUUGUAAUCAAAUGAUAACAGGAUGUUUCAAAGUAACACGGUAUUGUCCUGAUGUUUAGAUUAGCAUUUACAUGUCUAAGAGACUCCGACACAACGGGAUCCGAAAGGGAGCGCUCUGUGGGACUGAGUCGCCUUCUCCAACAAUCACCCAAAGGUUUGCCUGGUACAUGUUUGACCCGUGUGCGUAAAGCGGAGGAAAUUAUCCCCACUACAAUUUUGUCUCGGAAGAUAGACAAAUGGCCUUUUUCCAGGACACUCAAUCUGAUACAGCGUUGAGCAUCAGUUGAGAUAUUUUUUGUCAGUUAAUAUUUUACCUAGAAGUAUUGCUCCCUUGUGUAAACCCACCAUUGACAUAAAAGCAUCCAAGCUAGUUUGGAAUGCAUUUUCCAAAGGUCCUUGCUUGCAUUGCAUUCAAUAAGUACUAGCUUUUGAUACAAUGUGUUGUGCGAGUACAUCAAUGUUGAAUCUUUUUCUGCAUAUGGCUGACACUUGCAAGACCUUUCCUUAGUAGGAUAUUGAUAUGACAAGGAAUGUGGUUGUGUGUGAUUAUAUAUAUAUAUAUAUAUAUAUAUAUAUAACUGUGCAUACAACCAUUAGACCUCAACGAACUAAGCUGAAGAGGUGAGGGUUUGGAUGCGUCUAUAUUAAUAGCAGUGACAUCAUGUGGGCGUGUGGGCACUUAAAAACAGAAGAUGGGUACAGUUUUUGUUUAUUGUGAAUACACCGUUGAACAAAUGUGUGCUGUAAAAUACAUCUAUUGGAGCAGAAUGGCAUCAAUCAGCACACUUUUGAACAGACCCACAUGUAAACAAAAAUCAAUGUUUAUUUUUUUAUUCAAGCAUGCACUUGGGUUUCAUUUUUAUGUUGUUGACUUCUGUCGGUUUAUUUUCUUAUUUGGAUACGAAUAGAGGAUCUAUUACAGAUGUGAUAUGAUCACAACUGCCUUGAAUCAGGUAUACUCUUUGGUUGCUUAGGGACGUUAACAGUUUAGUCUCAGUUGUGAUCUUAGAAAGAUAAAUGUUUUUUGUUAAAAGACCAUUUUUCUAUCAAAAUAGUUCGUUAUACAUCCAUAUUUUCUUGAUGAAUAGCCUAAAUUGCUCAUUCUAAGGAUAUUUUCUUUCCACUAGUGUUGUCUACAAUUCCAAAACAAUUAAUCAAUUAAUGACCAUUAAACUUUUAAAAGUUAUGUACAAAAAAAACCAUCAUGGCAAUAUGAUUUGAAAAAUGUAUGGAAGAGUUUAUAUAAUUUGCGAUAUAUAUUUUGACACAAAACAAAAAAAACAAACAAACCAGAAAAGAAGUGAAACUGCUGAUAUUGGAAUUGUUUGUAAAUAUUUAACUAGAAAAAGUAUCUUUCAAAGAUUGAACAAAAAGAUAACAAAGAUCUGAAAUUUCUUGGAACUUGAUUUUGUUUUUCUCUAGUAUUUUGUACCUAAAAAGAUAAGUGAACAAAUGUGUAUAAUCACCACCUUUGAAAUUUUCAAGUUUCAAUUACUUUGCAAAAUGAACAAAAAAAGAAAGAAAAAAAAAACACAAUGUUUUCUUUUAAUGCAAUGCAUGCAUACUAAAUAUAGUUUUAUUUUUUAUUCUUUUAUUUUUUUAUUGGAACAACUUAGUGAAAAGAAAUACUUAAUCCUUUGAAAUCUUCACAAUUAUAAAUGAAUAGAUUAGGAUAAAACCACUAUAUUCGAUUUGGGCCUCCUCAACCUUGUUCGACAAAUUUCAAUUUGCGAGCUUGAUUUUGCCUUGCCAAUGUCAUGCAAUGAGGAUUGAUUGAAUUAUGGCUCAACUCAUUGUUAAUUGUUACAAUUCUAUGUGUGGUUUAUUCCUCAUUUACUUUGUGUAGGUCAUGCUAAUAAAAAUUAGCUUGAAAUUUAGGCAGCAAAUAUGUCAAUCUAAAUACAAACUAAAUAGGAGAUACUAGUAAAAAAGAUUUGUCUCAUAAGAAGCAUGAGAUGAAGUAUGGUAGCCUUGCAAACUUUGCUUUCUUCCUUGUCUUAAACCUUGUUCAACAUUGAUGGGAAUGUAGAUCAAAAGCUAAGAAGUUCAUGCAUAUGUAUUAAACAAGUCCAAAUUCAAAGACUUCUCUACAAACGAGCACAUUAUUAAGAGAAUUAUUUCAAAGAGAUUGCAAUCUCUACACAUCUACCACUUGAAAUGCAUCUCAACUAUCUAGCCCAAAUGCAAAAGUAAGCAAAAUUCAAUCUAUAUUCCACCACCAUAUCUAACAUCCAACAUUGUGGUCCUAAACUAAGAGAUAACCGAUUCCAGCUAUUCAACACUAUUUAGAUAUCAAAUUUCCAAAACCCACAAUUCCUUAUUCUCAGUACUAACAUAUUUUGAUACUAUCCUUGAGAUUGAAUCCUUGAAUCAUGUCAAAUUCUUCUAUCCUUGUUCAUUCAACACUCUUCCCUCACUAGAAACAAAUCCACCUCCUCAUCCUCAUCAUUUAUGUGUAUACUUCAUUCCAAUGAUAAUAGUAAUAUUAAGAAAGCAACGAGAGCAGUUUGAGAAGUGGUAAAGAACUAGCUUAUAAAUAGAGGCAGGAGUGGGAGAGAGUAGUGAGUGUGGUAAGGCAAUGGCGUAUCAAAUUGUGAUGUCUUCUUCUAACUUAUAAGUUGAUUUAUUACCUAGUAUAUUUGUCUUCAUGAUACAUUCCUUAGAUAUCUCUGCAAACAAUUUUAGUUAGUAGUAGAAAGUUAAAAUCCAUAGUAGUGAAAUUGGACUUGUUUGAGAUUGAAAUGCAUAUUAUGGAAGUUAUGGCCACUGAUUUGCCUUUUGUAUUGGACUACCCAAGUAGGUGGAAUGCUAUUCAAGUUUGUAUUAGACAAUUCACACUUCUUAAAAAUAAGAUCAACAUCAAACAUCCUCGUAGGAUUAGCAAAGUCUAUUAUUCCAUAAGGCAAGGUGUCACGGACAUAUGCAUGUAAGCCAAUAAUUGCAUGUUUAAAUAGGUAGAAAUAAAUAAAAGUAGAUAAAAAUAAGUUAAUUCUAUAGUAUUUGGUAUGGAAGCUUCCUAGACGCUGCUUUGACUUUAUAGGUGUCUUUAAUUGACUUUUUAAGAUUAGAAACGUGGUCAACAAGUUGGCCAUGUGCCACACAUGUUGUUAGCUUAAAGACCAAAUUAACUAUGUGGCCCACACGUAGAAAAACUUGCCUUGUAAGUUAAGGCAUGUGUCCUAUAAAGUCAAUACAUAUUGGAGGUCCUAUAGAAUGUUGCCAUAUAGCCCCUAGUUAGAUAAUAUAUAUAGAGACAAGAGUGAAGCUUUCUUCACUCUUGUCAACUCUUUUCUUGCUUCCAGUCUAAUUUCAAGGUCUCUAGUUUUCUUGGCUUUUAGCAAUAGCCAUUCCAGUUUCUUUCUUAAUAUAUAUAUCAAGUUAUUUCUAUUUUUUCAUCUUUCAAUGAGAGAAGUCUCACUUCUUUAUUUGUCUUUAUCAUAUUCUUGUCCUUGAUAGAUUGACAAGAGUACACCUACAAUAUCAGAGCUUUGUCUAAUCUUGAUCAAGAGUGGAUUAUCCCUUUUUCUUAAUAAGACACAAGCAUAUUAGAAGUUGCGGAUUACCCUUUUCUAAACUAAUAUUGUUGUUAGUAUUUUUUUGUUCUCAAGUCCUCUCUUCUAUUUGUCUUGAGUGAUAUUAGACAUCUUCUCUUUUUUAAGUCUUAUCAUGGCAGAACUUGCUGAAAUGAAGAGUGCAAUGGCACAAAUGCAAGAGCAAUUGAGGAAGUUAAUGCUUAUGAUGCAUCAACUCAAUUUACCACCACAAGGAGCAACAAGAUUGACAAGAAGUGAAGAUAUAGAAAUGAUUGGAGUUGCUUCAACAUCUGUACCAAAUCAUAUCCCUUCUCCUAUGGUAGAACAUCCUUCCAGUGUUAGAGAACCAAGAAUUAUCUUAUCCGAGAAGUUUGAUGGCACCAGAUCUAAAUUUUGAGGAUUUAUCAAUCAAGAGAAACCUGUGAUUGAACUUCAAUCCCAAAGCUAUCCAACUCUAGGAUCGCAAGUUAGAUUCAUUGGUGCGCUUCUUUCAGAUUCAGCAUUAUCAUGGUUUUCAUCUUUUCUUGAAUGACGAAAUCCAAUAUUGGAUAAUCUAGAGGCUUUUAUGGUGCAGUUUUAAUCCAUGUAUGGAGAACAUGAUGCAAUUCAUGUUGCAACUAAUAAGAUCCAUAUUUUACGAUAAGAUAAUCGAUCGAUAAUGUUGUAUGUUUCAUAAAUUUGACAACUUGUAACUGAUAUCAAGUGGAAUGAUGCUACACUUAUUAGCCAAUUUAUCUAUGGAUUACAAUAUGAGGUAAAAAAAUUAAUGCUCAACUUACCUGAUCCUCAAACAUUGAGUUAAGCAAUUGACUUUGUUGUGAAGUGGGACAAUCGCCUUUUUGAAUUCUGAUCUGAGAACCAUACAAGUGGACCUCAACGUUACUAUAAUUCAAUGGUAACACCAACACCUCUUCAACACAUACAUUCGGAAGUAGAGGAUAUGCAAAUUGAUGCAGUACGUUUCAAACUUCUUAUUGAGCAAGAAAAGACUCGUCGUCGUCAAGAAGGAUUGUGCUUAUAUUGUGGAGAACCUAAGUACACUGCUCAACAUUGUCCAAAGAAGCAACGCAACCAUAAAAUGAAGAGUACGACGAUCAAAGAAGAUAGCAUAUUAGAAAACGAAUUUGUCCAGCUACAAUAGGGAUCGUGCGGCUGGAACCUUGUACAAUGCUUAGUGAGUGUCCUAUCUUCUCCUCAGAACCCUGUCCAUGUUUUACGAUAAAUGUUAUUCUAAGACCUAAACAUCUCAAAGCCUUUGCCUUACCAGAUUAAGGAGCCUUAGCAUGUUUCUUAGAUGAAAAAUUUACUAAAAGACAUAGCAUAUUUUUAGUAAAGAAAACUAAACGUGUUCAUGUAGAAGUCAUAGAUGGUUGUCUAUUGUCUUCAGGAGAUAUUACUCAUGAAAUCCUUCCUAUAGAAAUAGCAACUAAUGGUCAUAGUAGCUUUAUAAUAUUUAAUAUCAUUAGAUCUCUUUUUAAUCCAAUCAUUUUAAGUUUAUUAUGGCUAGAAAAAUAUAAUCCUAAAAUAGAUUGGACUUCUCAUAGUCUUGACUUUUCUGAAAGUAUAACUAAGAAUGUAGUUAAUCAAGUACAAAGUUAUAAGUCUAGUAUAAUUAAACUUAUAUUUGUAGAUGCAAGUGCUUUCUUGUAUGCUGCAAAAGAAAGAUCACCUUGUGUUAUUUAUGCCACACUUGUUUCUACUGGUAGAAAGACUUUAAGUGGCAUUCAAAGCCAAUAUCAAGAUUUUUAAGAUAUAUUUGAAAAAAAGAAUGCAGAUACUCUUCCAGAAUAUGGUUCCAAUGACUGUUCAAUUGACCUUCAAGAAAGAGCACAACCGCCAUUUGGAUCAAUCUACAAUUUAUCUCAAAAUGAGUUAGCUGAACUCAAGAAGUAUAUUGAAGAGAAUUUGGCCAAGAACUUCAUACACCAUUCCAAAUCUCCAACAUGAGCUCCAAUUUUAUUUGUGAAGAAAAAAGAUGGAUCAUUAUGGAUGUAUGUUGAUUAUCGAGGACUCAACAAAAUCACUAUGAAAAAUAUGUACCUAAUACUUUUGAUAUGUGGACUUCUUGAUCAAUUGAAUCAAGCUAAGAUUAUACAAAAAUAGAUUUACGGGGAGCAUACAAUUUGAUACGCAUUAAAGAAGGAGAUGAAUGGAAGAUUGCAUUUCAAACAAGGUAUGGACAUUUUGAAUACAACGUCAUACCUUUUGGACUUACAAAUGCACCAGCAGCAUUCCAACAUCUAAUGAAUGAUGUCUUUCGGGAGUUUUUAGAUGAUUUUGUUGUUUGUUACCUAGACGACAUCUUAAUCUAUUCUAAGAACCCAGAAGAACAUGAACUUCAUGUUCGCCAAGUAUUACAAAAACUAAGAGAUAUAAGACUCUAUACUAAGAUAGAAAAGUGUGUAUUUCACACUACUCAAGUCGACUUCUUAGAAUACAUCAUUUCAAAUGAUGAACUUAUGAUAGAUCCUAAGAAAGUUCAAACUAUUAUGGAUUGGAAGAUCUCAAAAACGGUAAGAAAUGUCCAAUGCUUUUUGGGAUUUGCUAACUACUAUCAGAUCUUCAUCAAAGACUUCUCUCAAGUUGCAGCUCCACUUACACAUUUGUCUUGCAAAGACAAACUUCAAUGGAAUCAAGAAGCAGAAGUAGCAUUUGAAGCUUUGAAGACAACCUUUGUUUCUGCACCAAUCUUAUAUUGCGUCAAUUUUUCUAAGCCAUUUUUUAUGGAAACAGAUGCAUCACACUUUGCUUUGGGUGCCAUAUUGUCACAAAUGGGAAUAGAUGAUAAACUUCAUCCAAUAGCUUUUCAUUCCAAAAAAUUUUUAGUACCCGUGAUCAACUACGAGAUCCAUGAUAAAGAACUUAUUGCAAUUGUAGAUUCGUUUCAAGAAUGGCAUGAUUAUCUAGAAGGUUCUUCUAGCCCAGUCACAGUGUAUACGGAUCACAAGAACCUUAAAUAUUUUAUGUCUGCAUGUAUUUUGAAUCGUCGCUAAGUCCGUUGGAAUAUGUCUUUAUCAAGAUUUGAAUUCAAGAUUACUUAUCGAUUAGGAAAAUAAUAAGGUUUAUCAGAUGCACUCUUUAGACGAUCUUAUCUCGCACCAAAGAAAGAAGAUGCUACUUUUGAUCAACAACGAAUAAUUCUCUUGAAGCCAAAGCAUCUUCAUCUUCGAGCAAUAAAAUCAAUACUAAUUGUUGAUUCAACUUUCAUUAAGCAAAUUUAGUCAAGUAUGUCUUCUGAUCCUCUUAUUCAUGAUAUUAAGAAAAAUCUUUCAAAGUCUCAUGAUACUUCCAAGUUUGAAUUCAAGAAGAAUCUAUUAUACUUUGAGGGAUGCCUAUAUGUUCCAGAAGGUGAAGCUCAAUUACGUGUUCUUCAAGCUCGUCAUGACUUUCUAGCAGCAGGACAUUUUGGGUACAAAAAAACUUUGGAACUAAUAUCCAGGGACUUUUGGUGGCCCCAAAUGUGGAAAGCAGUUAAAGAUUUUGUACAAUCUUAUGAUGUUUGCUCGAGAUAAAAAAACUCCUCGUCAUCGACCUUAUGGACUUCUUCAGCCAUUACCUAUUCCAGAACAACCAUAGUCUUCUAUUUCUAUGGAUUUCAUCACGGAUCUUUCAAUCUCAAGUUCUUAUGACUCUAUAUUCGUGAUAGUAGAUCGUUUUAUCAAGAUGGCAUAUUUUAUACCAUGUAUAAAAUCUAUCAUAGGUGAAGAAACAACUAAGCUCUUUCUUGAUAAUAGAUUAUCCAAGGAUAUUAUAUCAGAUAGGAGAACUCAAUUUGUAUCAAGAUUUUAGUGGACUCUUUUCAAGAUUCUAAAAGUGGAUAUAAAACUAUCUUCGACAUUCCAUCCUCAAACUGAUGGAUAAACGGAGUGUGUUAAUCAAGUUUUGGAGUAGUAUUUAAAAUGUACCAUUAACUACCAACAAGAUGAUUGGACAACUCUUUUGCCUUUGGUAGCAUUUGCUUACAAUAAUAUAGUAUAUUCUUCUAUAAAAUAAAUAUAUUUCUUUGCUAAUUAUGAUUAACAUCCACGACUUGAUACUUUUGACUUUUUAAAAGUUGAUAAUCUUACUGCAAAAGAUUUGGCAAUUAUUUUUGUCAGAGUUACAUGCAACGAUGAAGGCAUAGUUAAAAGAAGCUCAAGAACAACAAAAAGUCAAUGCAAAUGUCUAUCGAAAGGAACAACCACCAUUCCACAUGGGUGAUAAGGUAUGGUUACUUUGUUGCAAUAUCAAGACCACUCAUCCUUAAGACAAAUUGGACUAUUGAAGGCUUGGACCAUUUUCUAUUUCUGCAUAAAUCAAUCUAGUUGCAUAUCGUUUAUAUCUACUAGAGUCAAUGAAAAUCAAUCCAGUAUUCUACGUGUCUCUUCUUGAACCAUACAAGAUAGUGGACAUAUCAAAAAGAAGAUAAGCUUCACCUCCUCCUAUAGAAGUAGACAAUAAUGAAGAAUUUGAAGUAGAAGAAGUCUUAGAUUCUACGCGGUGCCAAAAUAAAUUAAAAUAUCUUAUCCAUUGGCAUGGAUAUGAUAUUAGUGAAUGCACAUAGGAGCCAAUAAAGAAUCUUGCAAGUGCAACAAAGGUGGUCGAGGCUUUUCAUCGACGACAUCCAUCAAAAUCAAGAUGAAAACCUUCCUUAUAAAAGAAACAAGUUCUAGGCAAGAUAACAUUCUACUUUCAAUCCUUGUUUGUAGCUUCUUUGUAAUUAUGACGCUCAAGAAAUGGAGAACCAACAACCAACAGAUUUGACUCAAGAACCUUCGUUUGUUGACUUGUUGGAUGAGACAUUACGAUUGUCACAAUCUUCAAGACGACACAAUCGAGAUGAAGAUCUUCAAGAAUGACAUGUUCUUCCUCGAAUAGAUGGCGAGAUACAAUGCGUUUGGUAUCAUGACCUUGGAAUGGACUCCCGAUGUUUGGUGAUUUUACUAGAGGUAGGAACAACUCCUGAUGGUGUUUCAAAUGUUUUAUUCGAAGGAAGUUAUAAAGGCCUCAACAAUAAUCAAAUAACUAGGUGGUCUUUCCGCCUUGAUAUGGGACACUAUUGAUGGUUGAGAGGCCCUAUCAAUCAUCUUCGAAGAGAACAAAGAUCAGAGUAUGUGGCAAAUACAAUUCUUUGCAUCAUAGAUUUCAUGAAGAUAUGAUUAUCGCUCCUUGUAGAACUCGUCCCUAGAAGGAGGGGUAAUGUCAUGGACAUAUGUAUGUAAGUCAAUAAUUGCAUGUUUAAAUAGGUAGAAAUAAGUAAAAGUAGAUAAAAGUAAGUUAAUUCUAUAGUAUUUGGUAUGGAAGCUUCCUAGACGCUGCUUUGACUUUAUAGGUGUCUUUAAUUAACUUUUUAAGAUUAGAAAUGUGAUCAAUAGGUUGGCUAUGUGCCACACAUGUUGUUAGCUUGAAGACCAAACUAACUAUGUGGCCCACACAUAGAAAAACUUGCCUUGUAAGUCAAGGCAUGUGUCCUACAAAGUCAACACAUAUUCGAGGUCCUCUAGAACGUUGCCAUGUAGCCCCUGGUUAGAUAAUAUAUAUAGAGACAAGAGUGAAGCUUUCUUCACUCUUGUCAAUUCUUUUCUUGCUUCCAGUCUAAUUUCAAGGGUCUCUAGUUUUCUUGGCUUUUGGCAAUAGCCAUUCCAGUUUCUUUCUUUAUAUAUAUAUAUAUAUAUAUCAAGUUAUUUCUAUUUUUUCAACUUUCAAUGAGAGAAGUCUCACUUCUUUAUUUGUCUUUAUCAUAUUCUUGUCCUUGAUACAAGGCAAUGGAAUAAGCUUACUUCGUUAGCAAUUGGUUGCUACUUGUUUCAAUUGUAGGCCAAGAAAUCCAAAUGCUAAGCCGUCAUUGGUGGUGAACACAAUAGUGAAUUCCUUUGGCCAUGCCAUGGCUUGGGAGAUCUUCAUAGCAUUUAAAAUGAUCACCUUGCUUGCCAAGAGAGGCAUGAGGUCCUUCCAAGUCAAAACCUUGGAUACUAUAGAAGCCAAGACCAAAGUGGGUGCAAUUAAGAUGAUGAUAUAGAAUAUCAAAAUUAUAUUCCUUACCAUUUAGCUGGCCCCAAUUGCUUGUGCAACAAUCUUGACACUAUACACUUGAAAUUGUAGUUUGCGAGCUCCACAAUUGAUAAUAUUGUAAGAUCAAUUUUUCAAAAAUCCAAAAUCAAUUACAAAAAUCUACAAAUAUUAAAACUUUUGUGAGUUAUGUGAAGAAAAUUACAAAUAAACCACACGCAAAAUUGUAACUUCCAGCAACAAAUUGAACAGUAAGUCUUUGUUGCAUGACAUUGAUAAGAUAAAAGCCAGUUUCCGUAGUAAAAUUCAUUGAACAAGGUUGAAGAGGGUUGAUGGGAGAAUAGAAGGCUAGGUAUUGAAACAAGCUAUGAGAAUGGUAGGAAUAUAGACAAGGUAUAGGAGUUUAAUAAUGGUUUUGUAAGGAUAGGUUGAUUUAGUAAAAAUUUGGGUUGCUUUAUCAUUCUUUUAUGUAUAUAUAUAUAUAUAUACUUGAAAGUACUAAUCUUUAUCAAAUAUUAAUGAAUUAGAAGAAAAAUAUAAAAUCAUCAAGUGUUCAUUCAUUGUGUUAAAAUUAGUUCCUUGCAAUCCAAAAAUUACAACUAGUUUUCAAUAAACCUUAUAAUUUUGUAGUUUAUUUUUAUCCAUAUUAUUUUAAGUUUGAAGUAUUUCUUUCUAAUUUUUUGUUCAAAUAAUAAACAUUCAUUUAAUAAACUCAAAAUAUUUAUUAUUUAAAUUUUUUUAUUUAUCUAAAGCUUAUUAUUAUUUCAUAUUUUGAUUUAAUAUGUGACAAAAGAAAAUCAAAUAUUUUGCAUUGAAGUUGGUUUCAUAUAUAUAAAUGAAAAGACAUAUAAACAUGGUUUAGAAUGAUUUACAUGAGUCAUUAAGCAUGCAAAUAUUACAAAUCAUUUUUAUUUGACAAGUGCUUCCAACAUUUAAGUCAAAAGUAUAAACAUAUUUUAAGAUUUGUUUUGUACAUGACCUUAUUCUUCCAAAUGAACUUUCUAAUGUCUUUCACUAAGAUACCUAUUCCAUUAUUUUGUCCCUAAAGUGUUUUAAGCCUCUUUAUAUAUAUGUAUAUAUGUAUAUCUAUUCUCCCUUGUUCUUCUCCAUCUAUCAAACUUAUUUGCUAUAGUAUUGAUGGCAAGUUAGUUAUUUUUUAUUUUUUAUUUUUUAAUGUAAAUAAAAAAAAUUUAGCUUGUCUUGAUUCUUCAUGAUGAUUCAUUAAAUAUUAAUAAUAUUAGCUCCAAGCAUUAUAUAAGUGUAGCAUAAAUUGAACUUAUGAUUUUGGAAAUAUUUAAAAUAAUAUUGAAUUAACAUUGGAAAUAAAUUUUUUCAAUGUAUAAUGUGCACACAAUAAUAAUAUGCCACACUAAGUAUAUUUUGGAAAGUCAAGUCUAAUAUUGUUAUGAAUACCACAUCCUAUCAACUUCACAAAAUGAAUCAAAACAAAAAAUAAGUAAACCCAACAAACAUCCACUAAUCAAUAGAAAAAAUUCUAAUUCCUUAGCUAGCUAGUGUGAACAAAAAGAAUUCCUCAAGCAUAAAAUUUUGACAUCAAAUGAAAUCGCAUCUCUUGUAAUGAAAGAAAGCAAUGAAAUUUUACUAUUCAAAUAAUGAAAGAAAGCAAUGCUCUUUUAUUAUUUUAAUAUUAAUUUAAAUUUAAAUAAAGAAAUAUUCCCACACCCCCCUCCAAAAAAACAUUACCACCAAUCACAUGGCACCACCUGUCCAAUGACACCUGCCACAUCAGAAACAACAAGAGGAGACAUAAGGACGCACUUGGUGAUGUGGAAAGGACGGACCGGGCCGGGCCGGGCCGGGCCGAGCCACCCAGGCUGACUCUGUCUAUGUCUCGUUCUGUUUUUUGUACUUUGCUUUGUGUUUUUGUGUGUUUUUCUCGCAACAUUGCAUUAGCGCCUUUGCAUUAGGGCACUGCCUUGGCCUUAGCUCUCAUCGUUACUAUAAGCAUCUCCUUCCUUAUAGAGUCUGUAAUAGCACCUCGCAUCAUCGCCCUUAUUUUUAUUUUUAUUUAUUUUUGGUUUUGGUUGUGAGGAAGUGAGUUGAUUUAAGGGCAUGAGCAAGAACGAGAGUAGCUACGCGGGCGUUGUGGGCAAUGGAGGGGGCGAAUUCGAGCUCCCUCAGGAGGUUUUUUCUGUUUUGCCUUCCGAUCCCUACGAGCAACUUGAUGUUGCCCGGCGGAUUACUGCCAUGGCGGUCGCGGCGAGAGUUUCGAAGCUGGAGAGUGAGACCGGGAAACUGCGCCAGAAGCUGACGGAAAAGGAGCGCCUCAUUUCUGGCUUGCAGGAGCGCGCUUCGGAGGCCGAGGGGACGUUGCAGGAGACUAGCGCUAGGCUGUCUCAUGCUUUGGAUGAGCAGGUUGGUCGAUCGUUUUCGCAUUUGCGCGGAAUUUGAUGAUGGCUUCAUUUUGGUUCUUGCGUGGCGAUGCGGAGUUUCUGCGUGUGAGUUUGUUUUUCUUUUUUUCUUUUUUUUGUUUGAAUUUUCGUAGGUGGACGGUGAGGUCUGGAGCUUGAAUUUUUCCUUGUCAAGGUGCUGUGGAUUGAUGACUGCAUUCCGCGUUUCUGGCGGCAAAGAAGCUGAUGUGGCGGGGAAUCCCUUUCUGUAGAAGAUUCUUAAGUAGAAAUCCGAAUUGAGGACAAUGUUUCCUUGUUGCUGCAGGCGUAAGGAUCCAUUUUUCCAGUUAGCCUUUUGCUCUUGUACACAUUCGGCCGGUUUUGAAUGAAUUUUUCUCUUGCCAAAUCAAUAGCCAAGUAACCAUCAUGGGCAAUGGUCAUUUCCACCAACGACGAAUUCGUGCUUCGAUCAUUUUUCAGCAUUGAAUGUUCCUAAAUGGAACUCGCUCGAAGACUGUGGAGAUUUAGGUUUCUGACACUGAUUUUGACUGGUCUCGAGUACAUUCAUCCUUGACAUAUCUGCCCGGUAGAACCUAGCCUGUUAAAAUCUACUAACGGCAGAGCUUUUUAAGCACAUAACUGUAUAAACUGCUAAGGGUUUCUAUUGAUGACCUUUUCGGUUACUGAUCUUACAUUGCAUUGGCUGUUGAAUGUGUCAUUUUAGAGCGUAUAAUUGGACAUCACCUGCUUCUGACGUUCUAAAUUCAUUCUGUUAAUACCGGUAGCCUUAGGACUUCUCGUGGGCAGCUGUCUAGAUGUUGGUCUUUUAAACACCUUUCUUACUGUGAACCACUGUUUGUGUAUAUUUUAAUAGGCUAAGCUGGCAAACGAGAAGAAUGCGUUGGCAGCCCAAGUGAAGAAGUUGAUGAGGGACGUUGCGAAGGUAAGUUCGAUGCCAUCUUGUCGCCUUUUUUUUACUAUAAUAUGUCUGGUCUUACUCUCAAUUUCAAGCUGACAAGUCCACGAACAAGUCAUGUUUUCCGAGUAGGAACCAAAAAUCUUAUUCAUCACCUGCACCUCACACCUUACGAGGGUGUAGAUUCUAUGUCGUUAUAUGCAAAAUUUUCUUGAUUGUAUUGUUGGAUUAAAUUAGCGGCAAUUCCUUUGAAUAGCUGGAUCACUGCCGCACAACUUUAGUCUUUCAAGUAUCUAAGUAUGAAGUUCUCAAGGUCUGGUAUGGGUCUGUACGACACUAUCGGAAUUCAGAGACUGAAGCCUUUAAUCUCCUAUCGUUUUUCUCUGCAGCUGGAGACAUUCAAACGCACACUCAUGCAAUCCCUUCAAGAAGAUGACGACAAUCCCAAAGUAUGUAUUAUGCCUACUCUUCUACCAUCGACUUUUUUUGAAUAUAAUGAAAGACGAUGAAUAAAAAGUGCGCUUUGAGAAGCAUAUCUCUUAGUUUCCCUUCAGAUAACAAAAGGUUGUACCUGGUUGCAGAAUUUACACAAUUUUUGAGAAUAGAAUUUGAGCCUGGUUCGGUCAUUAACAUGUAUGGCUGUCAAGUUCUCUGUGCAUGGAGACCCUCUGUAUCUUUGAGUUGUCUGAGCCAAAUAGAGAUUUCAUUCUGAAGUCCGUUCUGGUUUGCAUUUCUUCAGGCUGAAGGCGGUGACAAGCGAGGCGUAAGUUCAAACCUGGCAAUUAGGAGAGCAUCUCGUGAGUUUCUGCAUCUUCUUGGAAGUAACAGAGUUAUGUCUACAAAUGCUUGUUACUAAAUGAGGAAAGAAACGUAGCAAAACCAGAUUAUCACGUUCAUGGGAAUCUUUUUGUCAAGCACAGGAGAUGAUAUUUACAUCCCUAGUAGAUUAGCCUUCUUUUUUUUCUCAAAGAACGGAUGAUGAUUAACCCUGAUAUAGUAGAAGACUGAAUUGACUCUACUGGAUUUGAAAAUAGGAUGCAUUCUUUGGUUCAGUUAGUUAUCUUCUUUAAAAAUAAUUUAUCUGUUAGGAUUGUAGUUAAGGUAGCUGUUGCGAUUAGACUAAUUACUGAAUUGCAUGUUUACAGAAGCUGAGUCUUCCCUGAGCAGAGCCCUCGAUGAUGACGGUCAAUCAACAAAAUCCUUCAGUACAAGUUCCUCCGUAAACACUGAAGAGCGUGGUUUCCGAGAAGGUACUAAUAAAACCGGUGACCAAUCUAGCAACAGUUUGUAUUUUUAGUGGUAUAUAAGUUUUCUGAAAUUAAUCAUUCAAGUUUUUAACCUUACCAAAGUGAGUCAUUGAGUGUUUAUAUAUCGAUUUGAGGCUUCAAAUCUAGAUUUACAUGCAAAUUUCCUCCAGGUCGCUCUUAAACUAUCACAGCCAUCUCUAGGUAUUGGUUUGCUAAUUGUGUGGCAUGUAGUCUUGAGUAUUGACUAGGCCGAUUUAGACAAUGAUCUGUUGUUGUUGGUUUUGUAAGAGUCUGAAUUUUGCUUUUGCCUGUGGGUCAGUUAUUUUAAGGAUUAAGUUGUGAAUUUCCUGGACAAGCCUUCAAAAGAGUGACGUGCAUAUCUUCUUUUUUGAUAUUACAGGAGGAGCAUCUAAGCCUCCCACCAGCUAUCAAACUUCUGCGCAUAAUUCGGCACAAGGAACUCCGCAUUUGAGCCCAAAGCUAACUUCUAGUGGAUCCGGAAGAGCAUCACCGCGGCGGAGCAUGAGUUUGACUGAUAACUCCCAUAGAAUCUCACUCCCGUCGUCAAAGCCCACAAGCCAGUCCACUACUGCUCCAAACUCUCCGCCUAGUCAUGGAUCCGCUCCCUGUAAAUUAUUUUCCUGUCCUGUUUGUAUUUACUUCAGAAAGUACGUCAAGAAAUGCAUUGCAAUUGUAGUACUGUAUCCGACUGAGAUACUGUCUUCCUACUUUCAUUCUGAUACGCUUUCUUCAUGGAGCAUAGGGCUGUAGUUUGUUAGGAAAUCUUACUGUUGCAUCGCUUGUCACAGCACGGACACCCCGAGUAGAUGGCAAAGAUUUCUUUCGUCAGGCUAGGUACUUCUCGCUCUAAAUCCCCAUUGUUGUCUUUUCUAUGGUUGUAGUGACUUAAUUCCUCUCUGAUUCUACAAAUGUGGUUUUCUUUCGUAUUGAGCCCUCGAUGAUGGUUUCGUAGGUGGUUGAAAACAUUUUAGUGCGCUUUAUUUUGGGUGUUCACAUGUGAAAGUAAGUUCAAACUAUAUUAUGGGUGCAGGAAUCGUUUGUCAUAUGAGCAAUUCAGUGCGUUCUUGGCUAAUAUCAAGGAACUCAAUGCGCACCGACAGACUCGAGAGGUAUGCCUUUCCCCUUGUAAAGUCUGAUAGGUUACUAGAUGCGUGAUCAUUAUAUGUAAAUCAAUUUAUCUCUAGUCAUAGGUAGUCAAUACUUUAGGACUAAAAUGUCUGUUCUGAUACUUAAUGUCAUUUCCGGAGUAUCUUGUGUUUUGUUGGAAUCUGUUGAUCAUUGUGUCCUUGUACGUAUCUAUGCAGGAGACGCUUCGGAAAGCCGAGGAAACUUUUGGUCCAGACAAUAAGGAUUUAUAUGCUGCCUUCGACGGACUUCUGAGUCGCCAUCUUCCGUUCUAGGGUAGCUACUUUUCAAUGUUUUUAGGGACAUGCUAUCUAUACUGAUCAUAUUACAAUUGUUCAAAACCUUGGUGCGUUUAUACGAAUUACAUUAUAUCACAAGGUGAAGAACGUGAUGUGUACACAAGCUUAUCAGUUGUAACAAGCCGGUAAGCUCUUUUGCACUAAGGUGCACCACAGAUCAGGUAGGAAAGAGCUUUCCAGUUCAUUUUCUGUACAGUUAAUGGUUUCAGCGAGUCCGCUCAGUUAGGUGCCUUUAUACUUCUUGUUGAAGUUUUUGUUCCUAGAGCUGACAAGAAGUUUGUAGCAGUUUGCCAUUUGACAUCGAGAUAGUUAUUCGUAGGUUAGCUAAUCAAAGUCUGCCUCCAACACUAGAGGUUUGGACCCUCAAAUAUUUUUAAGGAUCGACCAUUCUGUUGCUCUGGAAGCGUAGCUCUCUAGUCCAAGGAGCCAAAAUGAAAUCUCGUGUUUGGGAUUUUAGGUCCACUUGACAUGUUCCUGAAAGAUUCUGACGAUGUCGGCUCCUCCUUUGUUUUCGUCAAGCUUCCUCUAAUUCCUCAUGUCCAUGACGACGAAUUUGAAUAAAUGAAGUAAAUACUACCGUGAUUUGGAAUUUAGGUUUCAUCAGGAUACCAGCUGAUUAGUUUCAAGUAAUCUGUCCGCCUAAUUGUGGUGUGUUGUGUUCAUGAUGUGAAGUGUCCCAUGGUUCCUGCAUCUAAGUUUAAUUUGAUUGGAACUUGGAAUGCAAGUUUGUGUUAUAGCAGAGACUCCGGUUGGAGCAUUCAGGGGGUGAUGCUGUAAAUAGAUUAAACAGUUAAGAUGAAGCCAUCUGUUAUUAUGGAUUAUUGUGAAGUCAACUUCAAACUUAGAUUCAAUGUGGAUAAAAUUAUUUUCCUAAAAACCAACAAUCCUCAAAAAGAAACAAUACUUAAAAAACACUACUGUGAAGAAAUUAUAUUUUCUUCAAAAAAUAACUUUAUAUACUGUAGACUUAUUAUGAAGAACCUACACAGCAUAUGUUGUGUAAUUUCUUUACAGUUGAUGAUUUUAAAAUAAGGAUGUAUGCUAAUGAAUACAAUGUAUCUUAUUAAUAAACAUUGACAUACAAAUUGAGUAUCAAUUGGAGCACUUUUUUUACAUGAAAAUUGGCUUUACUAUAUGCAAUGCACAAAAAUACAAUACUUAAUAUUUUGAACAUAAUUCUCUAAACUUCUUUUAUUUAUUUUGAAGUAUUUAUUAUGGCUUAAAGAAAGUUUGUGUUGUGUUUGGAAAAGUUGGAUUUAAAAUAAUUAAUAUCAUAUUUUAUUAAAUUAGGUGAAAAAGAAAAAGAAAUUUUUGAUAUAUAAAAGUUAAAAACUACUAAGCUUGGAAAUAAAAGCUAAAAUAAUUUGUUUAAUAUAAAACAUUUUAUAUUACCAUCAUGCACAAGAUUCCAACUUGAUGGUUAUAACUGCUUAAAUAAGAACUUAACAAGUUAGUAAUAAAAUAUGAAAAAAGUCAAUGAAGAUAAUACUUGACAUUACUUGUCUUUCAAAUAUUACCAAGAAGUGUAAGAAAACCAUGAUGGAGAUACUUUUGCCUUAGAAAUCAAAAAAUUUCAUAUAUAUAUAUAUAUAUAUAUAUAUAUAUAAAUAUAUACAUAUAAAAUUAGCAAAAAAAAACAUAUAAUAUUAAUAUUUGUAGAUAAUCUAUAAUGUACAUUAAACAAGAAUUUUCUCACAUAUAUCAUUAUAUUCAAAUACAAAGUAAUAAAGUGACAUGGUAUAAUAUUUACUAAUUAUUUUUACACUAUUUUGGAUAAAUUUGAAUCUUAAAUUAUAAAUUGUAAAUUAAUUAAGAAUGAAACUUUUUAAACCAAAAUAUUUAAUAAAAAAUAGAAAGAAAGCAAAGCAUUAUAAGUCUAAUUAUACUAAAAUAAAAAAAAUUAUCUAAAGGAAUUCCUUUAGAUUCUAAAAAAAAAAAAUGUAUAUAUUAUAUAUAUGUCUAAAAUCUAAGAUAUCCUACAAAUAAAAAAUAAAAUUUCUACAUGAUUGAAGCUAACAAUGACCUCAACCUAAAGUAUAGCCAACUUUGAACAUUUUAGAAACAAACAAUAUAAAUAAAACAAGUAAAUAAAUAAAUCAAGACGUAUUUUGUCUUAGUUUGAAAUUAAAAAGCUUCAUUUGUAUAUAUUCUAUAAUAUAUGAUUAAGCUUGUGGAUACAAAACCUAACAGUUGAUAUAAAACUAAAGAUAGAAAGAAAUUAUGUUAACAAGACUUUAAAAUAUAACAUAAUUUCAAUAAAUUAGAAAAUAAUAUGAAGGUAUAUCUUCAUUACAAACUUUAAACUAUCAUAAGGGCAAUAAUCCUUCCUUUAACUUAGAAGAAGAAGUAAAAAAGAAAAAAAGCAAAGAAAAGAAAAACAUUAUUCCAACCAACUUGUAAAAAAAUGAUAUUCAUACAAUAUACAAAACAAUCUAAUUCCUCAAGGUAAAAAUUAUAUUAAAAAAGAAUAUAUACUAAAACUAAUAGGUAAAGUAACACAAUGAUAGUUCUUCUAUCUUAGGUCAUAGCAACAACUUAGCUAAUCUCUGUAUUGGAAAUCACCUCAAAUUUUCGUAAAACAUCAAAAAACACUUCAAACAAUAAUAGAUAUGUCAGACUAAAAUUUGGAAUACAAUACAAAAAAAAACCAAAAUAUAUCAUAAGCCAUAUAUUAUUUCUUGACGUGGUUUAAAGGAUUUUUAUUAUUAAUAUUUCAAAAUAAAAAAUUAUAUAAAAUUAGCCUGGACACAAUUUACAUAAAAUCUUUUCAUGUUUUGUAGAAAUUUAAUAUAAGUACGUUCAUAAUAUACAGAUUAUAAUAUUAGGCUCAAGCUACAAGGACACUCCAAGUUGCUAUAUGCAUACCCGUUAUGCCUUUACAUAUACAGAAGACUUUUGAUUGGCUAAUUCAAAUUCCUAUUAAUCAUCUAAAUUAAUCACUGAUACAAAAGCAUCCCGAAACUUGACUUCAAUUUCAAGAUUGUAUCAAAUAAAGAGGUAUCGUUUUCAAUCCACCUCAAACUUAACAAUUGUUCGACAGUGAACUUUUCGAAAAAAUGUGGUAAACGAUAAAGCAUGAGGAAAGUCACAUCCACAACAGUGUGUAAAACAGUUGCGUUUAAGUGCCAUAAAAUGAAAGAGAAAAACUGUCAGGUGAUUGAUAUUCCUGUUGGGGUAAAUGCAAAGAUUCGAUUGUUGGCGCAGAAAGCACCACUGAAUGAUGGAGACUCAGGAGCACGAUUCUCGUGCAUGUUCAGAGAAAUGCGCCUAUAAUCACCGACUGCAACCACAUUUCGUACGAAACCUCUACCGCUAUGCUAUACAAUUGAAGCCAUGUUCGUUUACUGACUAGUGCAGCGGUUCCCUUCCCUAAUGACCACAUGGAAGGGACACACAUAAGCGAAUUGAUUGCCUUUCAAGACUUUCAAGGAACACCGUCAUUUCAUACAUCAUCGACUCGCGCUUAACAACACGAGCGUGAGUUCGAACCAAGGUAAACGUCUCACCUAAAACAGCUGGCCUUAAGAUUCAGCCUGGAGGUUUGUGCCAGUAGAGAUCAUCGGGUGACACAACAUUCGAACCUCACAAGAGAGCCGUCAUUUGUGACGACCGAAAAAUCCUAAGCGCUACGGUAUCUGUUCAUGGAGCACUUAAUGUGCAUCUUCUGUUAUAGCCAUUCGGUACUGUGCCAUUGAUGCUUGGAGAAGGGGGAUCUACGAGCCAUCAAGCUAUCACCAGCCAUCAAGCCAUGGUGGAUCGUCUUCAUCGGGUUGGAGAUCAAACACUUGAUAACUAUCAUCCACGGGAAGAAAGUCUAUGGCCAACUGAAGGCGUGUCAUGAUCUCUGAAGGAACUUCCACACUGCAAUCGAGGUGCUUGUCCCAGUUUAUACCUCGGAACCAAGGAUGUUCCCUUAUGGCAAGCGAUCCAUGGCUGUCACAGCCCAGUCUCUUGGUUGGGUCCACCACCAGCAGCUGUUUUUUAAGCAACCGCAUCAAGCAGUGGUGAUUAGCUUUACUGGUAAAUUUUAUCGUAAAACUAGACUACAGAAUCACUGGCAUGGAAAGAAUUGAGUAACGAAUAAUUGUACGGCCUUUUCAUGCCGUAGGAGACACAGAUAGCUUCGUAAGAUAUAUGAUCACAUUUUGAAAGUGAAAAAUUUACCUUGUCAAUGAGGUCAACCGCUUCAGGGCUGAAACUUGAAGGAAACGUAAGCUGCCGACGGGCUAUUCUACCAAAAAUUUCAAGCUCGUUGUCCCGCCAUGAUCCAAAUGGAAGCUCAGUUUGCAACAUGAAGUACAUUAACACACCUACCGCCCACCUGCAGAUAUUCGUGCAGAUUCUUAGUACAUAGAAUGUAUAUUUCGACGAAAUCACCUAUAAGUUUGCGUGCGCAUCAAAUAAUAAUUCUCCGGCAAGAAAAACUUCGAAUGAGUUUGUGAGCUUAUCUACAAAAAUAUGACCAACAAAGUAGGGCAGCUUAUCGUGAUAUUUAAGUUCUGAGAGAACAAGAGGUAUCGAGAGCUAGGUGGAGUACCAGUCAGAAGCCAGGCCAUGACCUUGUCCUUGAAUGAUCUCGGGUGCUAAGAAAUCAGCCAUGCCACAGACUGUGAAAGUGCGCUCAUCCGACAUUUGCUUUGCAAACCGAAAAUCAACCAGCUGCAAUCAAAGACCUAAUCAGUCGAAUAAAUUGAGCUUGAAAACCCUUCGAACGUUUUCCAGAGUGCAGAAAGGCAAUUGACUGCCUAAGAAAAUGUGGCAACAAACCAAAUCAAAGCCGCAACAGAAAUGACACAUCUAGAUAAGCCUACCUGAAGUCGUCCUUUCCGAUCUAUCAUAAGAACAUCGGGAGAGAUGCCACGAUAUACAACGCCAUCCUGCAUUUGCAAAAUUUAAGUCAUUGCAUGCUGUCUAAAACGAACUGCUCUCAAUGAAAUUUAUAAGGAAUCCACUGCACAAAGUCAGAGCUGGAGAAGAGGCAAUGCGGCAACUUUAAGUACGAGAUAGUGCAAUUUUACAUCCUAACGACUUCUGGCAUCUUGGACAAGGAUUGUACUAAUAUUAAAUGUUCAAAAUGCAAGCUCAGGCUUCACCAAAAUCAUCUGGAUUACAAGGGAAAGUCAUGCACCUUGUGCAGAAGUUCGACGGCUAAUACCACGUUGGCGACCAGAAAACGAGCUGAGUUCUCGUCUAAAGGUGACCGAAGUAGAAGUUCUAGAGGCCCAGCUAACACACAAUUAAGAACGAGUGCCACAUUGUCACUGUCAAUAGGGGUGGCCAAGAGAUGCGGCACGAAUGGGGAAGGCCUCAGUUGCUUGAAAAGAGUUCUCUCCAAUAGGACUUGGCCCUCCCGACCGAGUCUCUGAACUUUACGUCUCUGGUACCUUUUCAUGCUUAUGACGUCAUCUGCAUUUAUCAACUUCCAAUGAUUAAUAAAAAAUUGUUUAAGAAAAAACAGUAGCAUGAUCACCUAUAGUACACUCGAUUCCCUUUGAAUACAGAUUUACUUAGUUGACUCUCCCAGUUACUGUCCUACGCAAAGUAGAGAUUCGAAUUCCCUGUAUGUUUGACCUCUGACAUUUUAACCAAGAAUUAGAACAUAGUAGUAUUUCCAUUCAUAGAUACAUGUAAACUCAGUAUAACUGAGUGACCGAUAUGCAGAAAAUUCAAUAAUUUCUCACUCCUGUUCAGAGCCAAUAGCGAUAUUGUGAGACAAUUUGCCACAUAUAAUUAUCCUAAUGCACCUGCAUCGAUGCAUAUGGCAUUCCGCAUUUAAAAAUAUACCGUAUUCUUCUCACCUGAUUUCUUGCAGAGCACCACACCGACAUCACAGCAAUCGGUUGAAUAGACAGUUUCUUGCCAGUCCUGAGCAAAGCAAAAAGUUUGUUAGCAGCUGUUAUCUCGUCCUGUUUCAGAAUUAGAAAUGCAGAAUCAGGUCACAGUAAGGCGAGGAAGUAUCAGGAGUCCCAUUAAUAAAGUACAUAGUGUUCAAUCAAUGGGCGAACCCCUGUGUCAACGCUUACAGAUGUCGCAUAGUCACUUUCAUACCUCAAGCCAAAGACUGGUAUUACCUCAAACGAAACAUCCUAAAUAAAAUUAUUUUCCAUUAGAAUCGAGGAACAUACCAAAUCCUUAAGUGUAAUUCUCUGAAAAGCGUGUACAUCCACCUCCGCAAGUUGGAGUCUACGCAAAUGUGACAUUUUCUCCAUGUACCUGCCAAGACCAUAUAAUCUACUUUAUUUGAAGGCCAUCAUGCAAAAAGUACGAGGAUAACAUGCCAGGCCAGAUAACCGCAAUUAUGCUGGAACAUUUUUGUAAUCUGAUUGUCGAAAUGGUAGGGACGAAACUCUUACUUUGCGUCUUCCUUGAGAAUUAAACUUAGAGGACCAACAGCAGCUUCAAAUGCUCGCCGUGAAAUAUACCAGCACUCCACGUCAGUGGUAGCUACCACAGUGAUGGAUUUCGCAGGCACAUUAGUAAGCAACCAUUCACCAAAAGACUUUGCUUGGGGUAAAUCCUGCCGAAUAUCAUCACUACGUUCAAUGAAGGCGCAUCUUUCUCCUGUCCACUCCAAGCUUGCCCUGGGUAACUGAAACUGCUCACCAUCAUCAUUCUCACUAUCAUGGUAGGUUAUGUCCACAUCGCCUUUGUUGACAAUAUAGAAUGCGUCAAGUUUCUGAUCCUACAAUAGUAGCGCCAACAACCACAAAAGCAGGGAAUUAGAAUUGGAUCCUAAUUAAGAGGAAAAUAGAAAGGUCCUUUGGUUUCAUUGUUUCUGAGCUACCCCCAGAAGUUACCACUCCCGUUUCACUACAGAAAAACAAUUAAGUAACAUUCAUACACAAAAAAAAUAAAAAACAAUAAAAAAAAUUCUAGAGAAUUUACGCCAGAAAUUACGGCUAAGACUAAAAAAGACCAAAACCUAGGUGUACUCACUUUUUUCACUAUAACUUGACCUUCCUCAAAUGUAGCUUCGGUCAGAGCUUCUGCUAGGCUAUGCAGAUGUGACAAGGAUAGCUUAGAAAAUAUUUCCACCGAUCGUAAGAUCUUCACCGACGGCCGCUGCAUGUAUUUCAUCAAAAGAACUCCUCGAAAGGCUUCCCGCUCUAGUACCCACAGACUACCGUUCGAUGCCGCCCGCACUGUUGCAAGCCCUGGUUUAUUAUACCUGGAGAACAACAUUCCUUCAUGCGAUCAGUCACUGCCAUUAGCUAAUAUAUUUACAAGUCUAAUGUGCGAAACUACCCAUCCUUGCUGAUAUACAACUCAUCCUGCAACUUUCCAACAACGACAGCCUGAUGUCCACCUCGCCAGCUCAUGUGAAAACGUCCAUGUUGGUCAAGCUUGUGGAAAAUUUCAAGAUGUCAACCACGGUUCAUGAUCCAAGGAGGCCAUUCAACAAUAGGUUGAUCAUAAUCAUGCUGAGCUGCAGAUGGUUUCAAAGUCUGCCACUUCCGAAGGGAAUAUACACUACCAAGAAGAAGAACCAGAGAUCCUAGGUCAGGAACUCUGUACAUUAGCUGUACCCUCACCAAGAUAGUCAUGAAAGACGGUAGGAAAACAUUUUUGUGCAAAGGGCUAAAGAUAUGGAAGUUACAUGAGUGCAAGCUCUCCAAAGCAGGGGUUUGAAUCCGCAGUAUACAAAUGGACCACCUUCCCAGCAUCCUGAACAGCACCAGCAGUGCCAGUUCCAGACUGAAAAAACACAACAUCUGACACCUUAAGAUCCACAAUGUAUGCAUCAAAACAUAACGUCAAUACUGAAAGAAAACAGCAAGAAGUGAUCUUUUUAGUUCACAUCAGUAACCUAAUGCCUGGGUACGAUCCUUGAUGCAAUGCGUUGAAAACUAUGAUUUCUGAAACUAUCAGUACUUCAUCCGUCUGACGAAACGACAGUCAAAAUACUGAAAAAAGCAACACACUGGCAUAGAAUUUCUGGUUGAAAACCUGUGAAAAUGAAGCCUCAAAUUCACCAGAUUCUACUAUGUAGAAUAGAUCGCUCUCAAAACCCUGUAAGACAUGCACGGCCGUGCAGUGAGACUAAUGGAAGUACAAGUAAUCAAGAAAGCUUCCUGCCCCCCAACAAGAUAUUUAUUUAAAACUUAAAUUCGAAAGUUCUGAAAAUUCUGCAGAGCACACGCUUUAAACGCUCGUGACAACUAUAAUAAAAGAUCUUUACCUGCCGUAUUAUGACAUCACCGGCAUUUACUUCCAAUAAAUCCAUGCAAUCAAUUAGCGUGUGCCGUUGCCUCUCUGUCAACCCUUCGAACAAGAAGUUACCUUGCAGAGCUCUCUUAAUUUGUGCCUGUGAACAAAAAGAAAUUUUAUGAGAACCUGAUUUUGGGUACCGAGUACUAAUAAACAUCAUUCCAAACAACGUGGUCACAAUCUCGAAACGAAACUUUUCACAAGAUGGGGAAAGAAUCUCACAUGCUAGACUUGCAACUACCAAACGGACCCAGACGAUCCAAAUUUGUUACUUUUAAAUGUAAACGAACAGAAGACUAGAUCCUAUAUUUUAAAUAAAUAAAUAAAUAAAUAAAUAAUAGGCCAUUUGCCAAAGCUCUUGUGACACCCACCACAUCAAGACAACUCCUAAAGCACAAAACUUAACUCCCACCUUGAACUUGCAAAAGUUAACAUAAAGGACUGAAUGUAUUGCUGGAACCAACCUCUUCUUCUGGAGUUUUUACAUGGGGCUCCGUUGUGGGCACCCAAGGUUCGUCUGGAUCCAAAGAAGCUUCAAUAGCACGGGCUCGUGCCCUUGAGAAAUCGCUGCGGGCAGGCCGACUGCCUUUGAAUACAUCUCUAGAGGCUCGACCUGGGGAUUUUACUCCAGGGGACUUGAGAGGUAGCACUGGUGAAUCUCUGUAAUAUGACUCCACUGUAACGUGGUCCUGAUUCCAGAGGAUCCAAUGGAUAAUAUGAGAAAUAAACACAACUGCAAGACUAGGGACAUCGCUGCUGCUCUAGUCAGAAGUAAACAGCUUCAAUAGAUAAUUCCACCACAGUGUAAUCCAUACAACUAAGGUUUAAGACUUACAAGUUAACAAUAUCACUACCGCACAAGUGAAAGCAGCUAGUUGGCCAAGAGAAGGAAAGAAAAGAUUCGACUGUUUAGAAUAUAAAUUAAAGUACUCCCUCAACACAUAGUUGGCUGAUGAUGAAAGUUCAAAAAGGAAACAUACGUCAUUGAGGUUUUGAAUGUGCACAACAAUUAUUGUAAUGUCGUCAGUACGAGUUUCGUAUUGCAGCCACAGCCGAUAUGAUUCUGCCACGAUAGCUGCACAAGCUUCCUUUGGAUCGUUGUACUUGGCAACCUGUUCCAACAAUCAAGUAAAAAAUCGGUAACGAAUCAAUCAGGUACUUCGCAAGCGUACUUUGAUCAUUAUCUCAGGUAGUGUUCGCUACCUCUCGAAUUCGCGUACUAAACAUGAAUUAAGCCAUUAACAGCAAUUAAAAGACGUAAAUACAUAUGAAGUAUUUAUCCAAUAUUAAUAAUUCAUGCAACACAUAUAAACUAAAACAAAUGGUGGUGGACAAAUCAUUAGUAGAAGAUUUAGGAACAAAUGUGUCAGUGAAAAGGCAAUCAUUUACAGGCAGCCUGAACAAGGCAAGAACCAAAAGAAUACGUGCUUAAGAAUGCCUGUAAACCCCGACCAACCGUACCCUAAACGGCGAACACCCAACCUCCAAAACUACGAUGGCAAAUGAAGAUUCCACAUAAUCUACAUCCAACGAUCAUUCACAACACACAACCCGUUUCGCAUUAACACAUCUUUCGUGUUCUGCAAAGGAAAGAGGGAUUUAUUGAAAUUGAGUAUGAUAAGAAGGGAUGUACUCACCAUGUCAACAACAGUUUGGCUGUUUAAAAAUUCGAAUACACCAUCACUGGCUAUAACAAAGAAAGGGUGCUGCGACGUGAGGUCCAUGACAAGGACCUCAGGCAUUGCGAUAACGCCAAUCUCCUCAGCUGCAGAGUCUCCUAUACUUCGUGUGAAAGCUGUUCCAGGAUACAUACCAUUUUGCACCCAUAACCGUGGAGGAUCACCGUCAUCGUCACCCUCUCCGCCCCAACACCUAACAUCAGGAUUUUUCAAGCCUUCAAGCUGGUCGAGGGUCAGAAUCCGCGCGCCACAAGCCUUCACACGGGUGCAUUCAUCUUCGCGAAAAGGCGUCUGGUCAGUGGAGAGAUCAACAGCCACAAAAUUGUUACCUCUUCUCUCUGCAAUUACUGCUCGCGAAUCGCCCACAUUGGCCACAUAGAGAGUCCGGCCUCUCACAAGCGCGGUUAUGGCUGUCGUGCCACUCAUUGAAUCAUCAAUACUGUUGCGAUGCAGCUGUGUAUUGGUUGUUAAAAAUGCUUCGUGGUAUGCUUGAACAGGAUCUGUAAGGUAGUGCUGGUUCCGCAGCAAGUUUUCACAUAGAUUUUUUUUCACAAACUGGGAGCACUGUGUUCCAAACUCGCCAUGACCAUCAAACACUCCAAAGAAAUGGUCGUCAGGAUUAUCGCCAAAUACCGUAUGAGCACAGAAACUGUCCUGAUUCACUUUGUCAAGCGCUUCGGGAUAGUAACCCCGCUGCGUCAAAUAGGAGAAUCGCAGCUCAUAGUUACCGUCAGGAACUCUGACAACACGGGAGCCGCUAGCAGGGAGAUACUGAUCCGAGAUUCGAGAGAGGCGAGAAAUUCCGAGGUCAAGGUCGAGAGACUCCAAGAAAUGAGAGGAGCUGUGACUAUUUCUUCGAGUGGAACCAUGCUCAUAAGGAGAACCAGACUUCGAACCUCCUCCUUCGGGUUUGGCAAUGGGCGAGGUGUAGGCAUCCGAUUUCGUCUUUGGAGUUCCAGUCUCUGACCUAGUCUUGGGCGUCCCCGACUUCGACUUUGGUUUCGGCAGCCCAAGCCCAUAUUUGCUACCCUGUUUUGGAGUACCAGCUUCAGAUUUCAGCUUCGGGGUGUUGGCCUCCGAGAGGAGCUUCGGAGUUCCAGAACGUGAGUUCGGUUUACUGUCCCGCCCAGGCAAGCACAUUUGAAUGCCCAUGCCAUCUCCAAAAACAUCUUCGUCACUGUCGGAGGUGAGGACAUCCGCUGCAUCGUUCAGAGAGGGCAAGAUCGCUGGCUGCUGGCGGUGCUGAUGUUGAAGCUGCUGCUGAUGCUUGGCCUCUCGCCGCUGUGCCCCGGACCUCUUGCCAUUAACACAUCCCAUGGUUUCAUCCACGGAAAAUGAAGUGUAUCCCUACCACAGUUCUGUACCUGCUAUCCCCAUUCCUGGAAAAACGCUCGCCGAAUUCCACCUUCUCAACGCUCCCAUGGCAUCCCAGGCCUCAGAACACAGCACGCCUUCAUUUCUUCUCAGUCUCCAAAAGACACCACCCGCCAAAUUCAGCAACACGCCCAAGAAUUCCAGCUCCCGUACUCCCACCUCCCACCUCCUGCAUCAGCAGACCACCUCAGCAUACACCACCACGAGCUAAAACACCACCCCUCUGUCUCCCCACCCCACUUCACCUCUUCCACCUCUACAACACCCAGCCCAAAGCUCACAAAAAGGCUCAGAAAACGGUCACCACCCCACUACACUCCAAAUGCAGUGCAGAGCUGAGAACUCCACGACAAGACUCUCAUCUCCCGCUCCCACAUCAAAAUCCCUCCCACAGUCCCCAAAAUGCGCGGAAACGCGGUGGAGGAGAGCAGGAUACACCACCUCACAGCACCUCCUGCAACACAGAAUGAGAAAAAAGUAAACCUGGCGCCCGGAACGGAGAGGUGGUGGGUGGAUGACCUUCAAUGGAAGGAGAGCAAUGGAAUAGUGAGGCUGCUGCUGCUGCUGGCUCAACUUUCUGGUGUGGCUUAGCUUGCCUAUUUUCUUUUUCUUUUCAGAAAAGGCAAAGGAGACAACGGACAGGAAAACGAAGCAGGCUCAGGCCAUGCUCUGGCUAUGGUGGGCCUCCUGGUCUGUUGCGAUUGCGGAGAGGCUAUCAUGGCUUACACCUAAAUUGCGACCACGGCAAGCGAAACAGAUCAAAAGCAAAGGGGAUCAUUCAUGCGAACCCCGCACCCGAUUUCCCAGACAGAUUGUGGUGAUGUCACCCGUUGCCCUGCGCUGCGCUGUGACGGGGAGCCCUCUACGAGGGCGCGUCCCAUUGCCAGUCCGUCUCGGUGCUGCACUUGAAUGGGGGGGGCACUUUACUACACCACACCGAGGGCUGCUCUCAACCGGGCAGGGCCCGGUCCAGAAUCACCACCCGUCGUGCUCCUUCUGCCGGUUUGCAGAAAAUCUGUCCUGGCACCGUGAUGCUCGCCUCUGCUUUCUUCACCCACUCUUCUACCAUCCAACGGUGAAGCCUGAUCCGGUGGAAUUAGUACUCCCUUUCAAAAUUGGAGUGGGGAGUGAGGUGGGGGGGAGCUUAGUUUCGAAUCUGCAGUGUGGAUGGGAUUCGGUGCGGUUGGUUUUAGUGCUCAGAAUCUUCCUCUUCCUCACCCCACUAUUCCUUUGUUAAAAGGUUCUUAGACUUUGCUAAAUUGUGUAAGCUAUCAUUUUCUGAUCGACCCAACUUGGAUGAAAACACUCCUCCAAGAUCUGUUUUGCUCUUCCCUAAAAAAACGUCCAUCAUUCGGGAUUCACUCUGUACAUCCCCGUUUGUUUCAUAUCUGCCCUUUUCACUUUCCUUCUCAUUCCAAACCCUACGUUUGCAACAAACAUCCAAGAGCUUGAAUGAGAUGUAUUCAAAAGAGGGAAUUAUUCUGUUGCCACCAACCCCACUGCUCCUCCAGUUCUAAAUGUUUAAACAAAGCUUUCCUCUCAUCAUACUUUUUGAAGAUUCUGGAUUCUUUGACGGCAGCUGGAGUAAAUACUAAGAAUGUGUCAGAGAAGGCGGCUUGUGGUUUUCAACCAUGGCCAUGAUCCCAACUUAGAGCUUGGAGUGGGACUAAGCCCUGGAAGUACAGGCAAGUUGGUGGAGCUUGUGAGUGAAAUCACCACCGCAGACAAGAGGAAGACUAUGCAGAAGGAGCAGGCAGCAGUAGCAGCAUGGCAGGGAUGGUCAGAAGCUCCUACAAGCUUUGCAACGGUUGGUAGCAAAGCUACUUCCAGUGGAACCAGGAAGGCUCAGAGCAGGAGGAUGAGGAGGAGGUGGGGCUGUUUCCCUCUUUUAGGGCAUGGAAAUCUCCUCUUUUUGCAGGUUUGAACAGGGAUUCCCAAUGGAAAAGACCACACUUCAGAAUUUGCCGGAAGAGCACACUGGUGCCCUGUCUGAACCCAGAAAUUUGUUCUUAUUGCUAAAACAGGAAUUUACUUUAAAACUUGGCUUCGAAAAGAUACAAAGGGACCAUGACGCUCCAAAGGGACUGGCCGCACAACGCAAAGAAAUCCUAAGAGUAGUUGUAAUAAAUACGUUGUAUCCUUAGUAACUGUGCGCUCAAUUGAAUGGGUGUGAGCAGGAGGUUUGCCAGCUCCAAACCUUACUGUUCUACAUGCUUGACAUGACAGAAAGGAACCUUGAGGUGAAACUUGGCAUAAAUUUAGGAUUUUUACAAUGUGAUUAGCAUGGACCCCACAAGGAAGGUAAUUUUGAUGUACAGCUUAUGAGGGGAGUAACUCUAUUGUACAACUUACAUGAAUAAGGAAGAUAUCGUACGCAAAGGCUCUCAAGGCACGAUUGGCCCAUGCCUUAGUGGUACCUACAACUUCAGCGGAGGGAAGGUGGGUGGAACGAGCCCAACAUCACAACAAAAUGGAACCAAGGCUGGUUGCAACAUUUGCCAACCUUAGAAAAUUUGCAGCCUUCAACCCUACAUAAGCUACACUAAGCGAAAUUUUGCUUGAUGGAUUAAUUAGAAGCAACAUCGGAUUCUUGUUAAGCACCCAAGUAAUUAAGAUUAGGUUAAAUGAACAAAAAGUAAAAACUAAAAUAGAAUAUUUGGAGAAGUGUGUUAUUAUUGCAUAUUUUGUAGAAGGACAACCUCCAACAAGGGUAUUAUAGGACUAGUUAGGAUUGUUGAAAACUAAAGUACGAGAUAGAAUUGACAUUGGAAAGAAUCUAUGGUAUGGUUUUAUUCAGAUGGUAAGUAUGAGUGAAAUAAUAAUACAGAAACUGCUCUUGCAAAUCCCACAUAUUUUAUAAUAGAAAUCUUGCAUCUUCUAGCCAUAAAUGAGAGGGUUCAAUUUUAGUUGGCCAUUAGCAUGAAGAUGCCAAUAUGGGAGAUGUUGAAGAUGGUUCUAGAUGAAGUCAUAAGCAAUAUCUGCAACAUCACCUAAGGUCUUGGUCUUGUAUUGGAUAAAGAUAAGAACAACAAAUGAGGUGUUAGAAAUCACUAAAUCUAGUGGAAGAAAAGAAAUAUGAAGUAAUAACAAUGGCGUAAUUGAUAACUAAAAAGGAUGUAAUAAUCAAAAUGCAUCCUUAAAGGUAGCAACAAACAAAGCCAAUCUAUUAGAUGCACAAAUGACCUUAAUUUAGAUAGAAUGGAUAGAAAAAGAGCAAAGGUGAGUAGAAAUUAGGAGAUAGAAGAACUUUGCAAUUUCAACAAAAAUACAACCAUGUGGAGUAGCAAUAACUCCUUUUGGAUUCAAAGCCAAAUAUUCAAAAUUUGAUUUGAACAAAGGGCAUAAUUUGCGGUCUAUUUCCAUAGAACUACAUUAUAUUAUAGGGCUCAACAAUGCACAUAUGUAAAGAAUGUAUCAAUAGAAAAACAUUGAAGUUAGAUCUAAUGACACAAUUUAGUUGUUUGAAUUGUAUAUAAAAGAAUUUAGAAAAACAAAUCAUGAUUUAUUAGAUUAUUUGGCUCAUUUAUUCAAUGAAUGGUUAUGAGACCAAGAGCUCGCUACUCAAACGUCAAAAAAUAAUGAGUUGAAUUGGUUGUUGAACAAAUCGAUACCAAGACAUAAAUAAUAUUUAUUGUCUUUAAGAUAUUAAAAAUUCUUUUGACUCAUGGAAUAGUGAGAAGAUGAAUGACCAUCCUUCCAAGCAUCAUAGACAUCCAAUAGAGGUUAAGAUGUUCUUACCUCCUACAUUGAAUCAAAAAUAUAGUUAUAUUAACUUAAAAUCUACAAAAGAUGUAUGAUUUUAGUAAAUUCAAGGUAGUUCUAAAUUAUUUACAUAAGUAUCUAUCAAGAAUAGAUAUUACAUGCAUGCAAGAAUAUAAGCUAAGAAUAGUAAAAUUAUUGCAACUCAAAAAUUUAUUUUCGAAAGAUGUAACAUUUUUUGGUUCAUAAGCCAAUGUGGCAUAUAACUUGCAAUGAUGCGAGCUUCAGAAGUGGGAGGACUGGGAUAUAGAUCAUUCCAUACUUAGCACAUCUUAUUGAAUCAUCACGUCAUUUUCAAUUAGAUAGGAUCCAAUGGAUUAAACUCAAGGAAAUAGAUGAUUAUAUUGUAUCAAUUCUAAAUGUGUAUGCUCUUCACUGUAUAAGUGAAAGAAAGAAAUUAUAGUGCAAACUGUUGAGUAUAUUAGUUAUGGAUUGCAAGUGGAUAAUGGCAUGAAACUAGAACUUUGUAUAGUAAAGCCACAAUAAUUUAAACUUGUAAGGAUCAAUUAUCUGUAGAUAAGAAAAGUAAAUAGUCAACAUGCUAAAAUUAAUAUUUUAAGUGAAAAACAAGUUCUUGAUCAUACAUAAGUUAUAAUUUAGUUGGAAAAUCAAAUGAAGAAACGGAUCUAAGAUAAUAGCUCAAUUAAAUUGUAUAUAUUCAUUUAAUAGUCUUAAAAAUAGUACGACAAUCUUUGAUUAUAUUAUCAUGGGCAACAACAUGUACUUGGACUAUUUGGUAAUAUUAUGCCUCACAAAAAUAUAG
rnacentral:lncRNA from 1 species